AAAAGCAAGGUGGUGGUGUUGCUGUCUCUAGUGGUUGGUGCCGCUGCCCAGAGCGCUAAUAAUGUGAGGGCCACCUACCAUUACUAUAAUCCGGAGCAAAAUGGAUGGGACUUGAACGCAGUGAGCGCCUACUGCUCCACUUGGGAUGCCAGCAAGCCCUUGGCAUGGCGCAGCAAGUAUGGAUAGACUGCCUUCUGUGGACCUUCUGGCCCUACUGGCCAAGCUACCUGUGGCAGGUGCCUUAGGGUAAGAUUCUAAUUAUCAAACAAUGUCUCUCUCUCUCUCUCUCUCUCUCUCUCUCUCUGUAACAUGUAUAUAUAACCUGAACAAUUUGAGGUGUGCAGGUGACAAACACUGCCACAGGAACUCAGGCAACAGUGAGAAUAGUGGACCAAUGCAGCAAUGGAGGAUUGGAUUUGGAUGCCGGAGUGUUCAAUCAACAAGACACUAAUGGGGUUGGCUAUGCCCAAGGCCAUCUUAUAGUCAAAUUACCAGUUCGUGCACUGUGUUGAAGAUCUGUGUGUAUUUCAUUUAUCAUAAAAUUUUGAAAUUUUUGUACUGAUUACUAGUUUGCGAGAGAAGUACAGUCAAACCCUCUUCCACUGGCAUAUAGUGGGCACAAACAUAUGUUCAUACUUAGCUGAUGAGUUAUGUGACCAUCGAGGCAAUUGUAGAAAGAAAUUUUGGAGUAGUAUAUCAAAUCUUAUCCAAAUCAACAUAGAACAUCCCCUAUAGUGUCUCAUUAUGCCCCAAAUUUAUUUGAUCACAUCAGAUUUUAGGAUCUUCAACCCCUUUUGAGUGAUAUAUAUAUCAUAGUAAUGCCUCCCUGUCAACUAUAUAUUUAUAUUCAUAGCCAUAUUGCAGCAUCUAGGCAUUAAAUAACUUGUUGGCAGUGAGCACAAACAUGACUAUGUUACCAAAAAGUCUUCUCAUUGCCCCUCAUGCCAUUUGAUUUUUGGUUUACUUGCUUUCUCAACAUUGCCCCUUUAGAUUGAAUCAAACAUGAUCACCAUAAGAAACAUGCAAGAGUAGCAUACAUCAUGCCUCUAUUUCAUGACAUGGUCAAAAGUUGUAUUGAGCAUAGCAAAAUAUUGGAUCAUUCAAAGUAUAAUUAUCUAUAAGGACUUGGAUAAUUAAGAAGUAUAGAUUCAUUCUUCCACUUUCUCAUCUUGGUCACCAAUUAAGCACAUGCAAUAAGAAAUACAUGUAUGGUGGAGCUCUCUUCUUAGUGCUCAAAACUAGUGCUUUUCCACAUGUAAAAGAAGGUUUUUAUAAAGUUUUUCGGUUCAAAUCAUUAUUUUUAAACUUAAAUAUAUGCUUAGCCCUUAUUUGUGGGACUAAUGUUUGAAUCUAGUAUAAAAGGCAGCAAAAAGUGGGUAAAAAACACAAAUCAAGCAAAUAUCAAGACAACCCAAAUACCCAAGGGUAAUGGGAGGAAGGUGGAGAUGCUGGAAAUUCAUGAGAGAGGGAUGAAGAUGCACAAAAAUAUGAAAAACGCAAGGAAAGGGAGGAGAGGUUUAAAAUGCUAGUUGCAAAUUGACACACAAAUUGAUGAAAGGAAGAAGUUAAAGAGGAUUUCGACACAAGAAAGGGUGUAAUAAAUAGUGCAAAAUUUGCUCCCAACACAUAAUUUCAACAUCAAAUUGGUAACAAUAAGGCAUGGUAUCAGAGUUUUGAUACGAGGCAUAAAAUGGACUUCAACUUUAUUUCGAUACUAAAAUUGAUACUAAACCUACUUUUGAUACCAAAAUGAUACCAUGUCCAAUUUCGGUACCAAAUCAACCCAGGCUUAUGUAUUAUUUCUAGGCAGAAACCUUCAAAUUUUGGGAUUUCAUUAUCAAAAUGAAUUGAUACCACUUUGAUGUAAGCUGUAGAUUUCGACAAACACACAAAAAUAUAAUUUGAGUUGAUUAGGAUAUUUUUAAAUUGUGAAUUUAUUGAAAAUCAACAUUGGAAGCAUCACAUUGAAGAGAUUCGAUUUUGAUACAGGGAAGUUCCAUUUUUUAUUACUUAAUUUUCAAUACAAGGCCAUUUUUUGUGUCAAAAUUUUGGCACCAAGUCUAUCUAAUGUUGCCUUUGAUCUUAGGAUGACCCAUUUUUACUUAUUUCUUUUUGGGGAUGUAUUUUUCAAACAUUGUCUACUAAUGUGUUAUUUUAGAAUUUAAUUCUAAUUAAGAUUAAGGUUACAACAUAUAUACGCGCGCACACAUAUAUAUAUAUUCUUCUUGCCAAUGAACAAUGGGUUGCGAAAAGGAAUUUUUCAUCAUGCUUGGUUAAUUUCUUUUCAAUUUGAUCAAGAUAUAGCAAGGAAAAUGGAUAUCUAUCCCGGAAAUCAUAGAGAAAAAAGAUAACUUUUCUUAUGGUUCCCAUGUUUGAGUUUGAACUUCAUACAUAAAGUGGAUGCUUAUUAGGGGUCUAGUGAUGCUUUCAUUCACUUGAUCAAUGGCUAACUUGAUUUGAUCUUUUGUUAUCAAAAUUUGAGGAGCAUCUACAAGAUGGAUAAAAAGUUUUUCGUGUAGAAAACGAAAAACUUGUUGUUCCACACAUACUUUUAAAAUAAACUUUUCCAAAAUUGAAAAACAAAAGAUUAAAAGUAGUUCCUUUUAUACAUUUGGGAUCUAAAUUGACUUGAAACACUCGAGUUUCAAAUUUAAACUUAUCUAUAUUGACUGUUCAUUCUUAGAAGAAAUAGUUUCCUUUUUUUUUUCUUUUGACUUUUCAUAUGUGGAAAUUGAGUUGGAAGGAAGGGGAUAGCAUAUUGGGUAUAAAAAAACCAAUCAGCAUAGAGUGCAUGAAAAUAUAAUAAUUUUUAGAAUGAGCAUAGCUUUCUUAAAUUUGGAAAAGUUAGGUUUUGAAAUCCUAAUUAUUUUCAAGCUUGCAACCCACAACAUGCUUUUCCCUUUAAAAUUUUUUUUGUAAGAAUUUGUUAAAAAUAAUUUGUUAUCUAUUAGUCAACUUAAUUAGUCAUAUGAUAAUUUUUACGCUUUCAAAUUUAAUGCUAAUAGUUUCUUUAUUAAGUAUCAAUCAAAGACAAUCGAUCUUGGCCAUAGGGAAUAAGAUAAGGGAACCCUUUAUGUGCUUGGAGAAGGAGAAAUUGAAGCCCUUAAUAUAGAGGAAGGAGCACCAUCAAUCAUUUGGCAUGCUCAUUUAGGGUAUCCAAAUUUAAAAUAUCUGCAAACAUUAGAAAAUAAGAAAGUUAUCCAUGUUCCAAAUUGGUUAACCAAAGAUACUUUUAGUUACAAGUUUCCAAGUUGGUAAAUGUUACAACCUUUUCUUCAAUAAAUCAUAUUCUCUUUCAAAAUUUCAUUUGGGAAAAAUCAUAGUGAUUUAAGAGGGCCUACUCCCACUCUUUCCUUUUAGAAAUCUCAAUAUGGUAUGUCCAUACUGUAGACCCUCCAUUUUUUUUCCUUUAACACAUGUCUUUAAGUUCACUUCCAAUGUCCCAUAGUAGUUCUUUAAUGGCCUAUUACUACUCAUGUAGCUUAUCUUUUUUGAGCCACUUUGGAGACUUUGAUUGAGGGGUUUAUCCAGCUCCACAUUAUGACCUUAGCUGCCCUUCAAGUUUAGAUUAGGCUUCACUUAGGUGCACUUUAGGUUAGACUUAGUUAGACCCACCGAGUCUCACCCUAGACCCGUAUAGGUAUACCCGGCCCAUUAGGCACCACCUUAGGCCUGUCUAGGUUCACUUAGGCCCACUUAAGCACACUUGGCCCAUUAGACAUUCUUAACAUGACUUGUAUGGUUGCAUGACUCAUUUAUCUCAUUCACUUAUUUAUUUAUUUUUAUUUAUUAUUAUUAUUAUCAAUUACUUUUAUUUAAUCAUUUAUUAUAUUUUAAUUUAUUUUCAUUGUUAUCAAUCACUUUUAUUUAUUUAGUUAUUUAUUGUUUUUUUAUUUAUUUGUUUAUUAUCUUGUUAUUUGUUCAUUUAUUAUUAUUAUUUUAUCAUUCUCCGAUUUAUUUAUUUAUUUUAUUCAUUUAUUUAAUUUAAUAAUUUGAAGUUUUUAUAGAAAAAUCUACCAAUGGAGAAGUUUUUGGAAAAGGUAGAACUCUUUAGGUGAUAUGCAUGGAAUGGUUUUUUGAAAUUUAAAAGGGAUUUUAUGGUGGAUGAGACAGAGAAUUUGGAAAGAAGAAGACUCCUGAGGUGGAAUGACUGCCAAUUGCUAUAAAAAGCAUAGGCAGAUGGGUUUUGGAGGAGGCAAAGAGAUAGAGAAAGAGAGGUUUUCAAAAAGAAAGAUUUUUUCAGCACACAUUGAUAAAGAGAGAGGGAGCUCAUCUGGGUCAUCAGGUUUAGUCAAAGAGAAUAGGAGUUCGUUAGUCUUUGGGGAAGCAGAAAAGGACUUUCAGGUAUGAUCCUCAUGGUUGCCUGUACAUUUCUUUUCAACAGUCUGAAUUUGUGUAUUAAUGCUAAAGAUCGUUUUUUAUUCUUGUUAUGGUUUGAGUAUGGAUUACUUGUGGCAUGGUCUUCGAACUCUUUCCCUUCCACACCAUUCCCUUCUCUUCUUUACUAUGUUUGGAUGUCGUUUGUUGGAUUACUGGUGACUUUGAAUGUUGAUUAUCCAUCUCUUGCUCAUCUGAUUUAGUAUGAGGAUGGUCUGAUUUCAUUUUAACUGCACUAUGCCUUGGAAAUCAUACGUUUGUUUAGAUUUUUUUUUUCUUUUAUUUCCCUCUACCACCCCUUUAAGCUCAUGGAUUACUCGUGAAAUGGCAUUUGAUUUGAAAAGAUUAUUCUUUUGUUUGUUGGUUUGUUUGUUUAUUUGUUUGUUAAUUAUAACCUUGAUCUUCUCCUUGUUUUCUUGAGUUUUUUUUUGUUUGGUUUUUUUCUGUUCUAUUUACUCUCCAUCCUUGGGUUUCUGCUUCACAUCAAAGAAAAGAGCCUACCGAAAUACAUUUGUUUGUUAGAAAAUAUUGGCCAUCUUUACAUAAUGGAUAGAGAUCACAAAAAACGGUAAUAGCAUCAUCACCAUAUCUCUGUUUUGAUACAUUUUCUCUCAUGGUCUGGGUCCCUUGAUUUUGACUUCCACCUUUUGAUUUCGGGAACUUGGAUGAGGAACCUAGCGGGUAAGUGCCAAGCUCUUCGGAUAGUGCUAAACCGAACCCAAGGAUAGCUGCAAGUUGCUUAGAUGUAAAUUCAUUAGGAAAUUGAGGAGAAAGUUGGCCAUGAGACUGCUUUUUGGGAAUUUACUUUCGUAAUUUUGUGAUAAUGCAAUCUAUUUUGAUAUAGGUCACAUCCUUGUUUAUGGGAGGUUAUCUUGCUACAGUUUCAUUGACCUUAUCAUGCUUGAGUAUCAUUCUAUCCUCAUGUGGAUGUUUUUUUUUAAAUCCCCCAAUCUCUGUUCUUCAUCACCUGUACCUUUUGUUGCAAACAUUUGGUUGGUUGUUGAGUUAUUUGUUGAACCUGUUUUUCUUUAUGAAUGGACUGGUCAACAUUUGGGGUUAUCUCGUUUGUCUUUCAUACCCAUUACAUGCAUCUUCCUAGAGAACAUAUAACCCAAGCUUAUGAAAUCCUGGAGAUGAUGGCUAAUCACAUCUGGAUGUGGGGUAUAUUGGUGAUGUUUGUCGGAAUGGUCUGGGUAUAUUGCGUCUUAGCCCCAAGUUCAUCCAUGUGGCACCGGCCUCCAAGCAUAGAAUUCUUAUUGGGUGACACGUGAGUGCUAGACUCUCAUUUUUUCAUGGCCAUGCAUGACCAUUUUUCUUCAUUCUCCCAUCUCAAUCACUAACCUCAACUUCACAACCAUGGUCUCUAAGCGAUACUAUUAUUGGAAAGAGAAUAGGAACAACACCCCAAUUCCAAUCCAAAACCAAAGAUUCCAUCAUGCAUAGCAUACCCACACUAAGAAGUUUGAGAAGCCUAAGCUAUCCGUGUGGAUUGUCGGCGUUCAAAAAAAUUGUGAACUCGUUGAUGUGGAGUUCAUGUAUGUUGCGAAAUGAACAAAAAAAAAAAGGUACAUUUUUGCAGGUCAUUAACACUUUCAGAUGCCUCUGAGGAAAUUAAAUUCAUGGGAUUGUACCCCAUAGCAUUAGCAGUUUGAUGUCUCUUGUUGCUUUGAGCUCUUUGUGAAAGUCCAUGCAUAAAAUGGUCAACGGUCUGCAUAUGGGCAGACAUGCUAUCAUCUUUCAUGCAAUCAACAAUGCUACAAGGGACAAAGUGCAUUUGGAAUUCAAUUUUAGCACACAACUCUACUGCCGCUAUGAAUGGACUCCAUUAACAACCGCAUCAAGGAUUGAAAACGAGAUGGUUUGCGUCCUCUUUGAAGCCAUGUUACAACAUGCAACAUAAGUAAUAUAGAAUCAACUAGCCUCCACAAACGAUCUUACCUACACGCAUCAUUCACUCAUUCUCAAGGGUAGUCACACCAUCCUCCUCUUUCUUUGUUUUGUUAAACGAUUCCAGCUUCCUUCAAAUUUCAUCCUUAAAGAGUUUCUAGAUUCAUAAAAAAUUCAGAUUUCAAGAAACCUCUUGUUGUCAUUUUCUCUCAUGGCAUUCUCACCAUUUUAUUUGAUUUUCAACUAUUCUCUUGUUUUUAUUUGAUUUUCAACAAGCAUGAACAAACUUCAUAGUGCCAAAUAAUGGAAUCAAUUGAACCAACUCAUGGAAAAGUAAUUUGGGACUUGAUGGAACCCCUACAUAAGAAAAAUUUUCAAAACUCUUCCUUGCUAACAGUUUUCAUUCAAUCAUUGACUUUCUAGAUUUAAAAUUCGUUUUAGCAACUUUAGAAUAUUUCACAAAAAUUUCUAAAACUUGUAUGAUUUUUCUCACGUCUUGAACUUAAAUUUAAAAUUCCGUUUGAGUUAGAAAGAGAUUCUAGAAUAGAAUAUAUAAAUGAGUAUUUAAGGGGCUUUGUUUUCACCUAGUUCUGGACACUCGAAAUCUUCCUGUAAAAAAUAAAAUAAUAGAUGACUUUUUAAAUUUGACUCGAUAUUUUUCCUUGAUUCUAGACUUCUUGAAAUUGAUCUUAGACAUAAAAUAUUAAAAAAAUAUGCAUUUUUGAGGGAGAUAUGAUUUUUCAAAUUCGUACCUACUGUACAUAAUGGAAUUUGGACAUCGGAUUAGUUGGAGUGUUUUAAAAAUAUUUUGAGUACUCUCCGACCUGGAUUUAUUUUUCCUGUGAUAUAGACACUUUGAACGAUGUGUGUGAUUUUUUGUAUGAUUUUAUGUGAUCUUUUAUUCUUUUUAAAAAAUUUGUUUAUGCAUGUCACCAUUUUUUUACCUAAUCUAAACCUUCUGGAACUUUUGGGUGUCUUUGCUGCAAUUUGACAUUUAAAUGAGUGUUUGGCUUUUGGUAUCUUGUUCUAGACGUAUAGGAGUUGUUUCCUGAAAUUUUUUUUGUAGUUAAAUUCCACUCUAAGAUAUUUUUUUCAAAAAUUGUUUUGUGAUACUUCAUUUUCUAACUGCAUGCUGAUGGUUUUAUACUUUACUUGGAAUUGUUAUUAUUUUUGGAGUCAUUUGAUUUAUCUUAGCUCAAUUUCGGUUUUGGUACUAUAUAUUAAACAUAUUAAAUAUGUUAUAUAAUAUAUACUUGUCCUAACCACUCUAGCCUUUUUUUGAGGAAUCUUAUAAAUUAUGCAUGUUAUCCAAGUACGCUCUCUAUGACUUACUUUUCAGAAUUCUAUGAACAUGCAUGUUGUUGUGAGCCUUAUUUACGCUUGAUGUGAUCCUUAGGUGCUUAGAUGUAUGCUUGGAUAAAAUACAUGUUGUGUGUUAUAUUUUUAUACUAAAUUUGAUGUUUUAUGAUAGCGCUUGAGAAACAAUUCAGGUACACACCCUAAAUCUUCUUUAUGAUUAUGAUUGGUUUUUUUUAUUUGGCAUGCUAUUUUUUUUAUUUUUUAUUUUUAAAUCACCUAGCAUACCUAGGUAUCUAUAAUCAACCAAUUAAUUGUCACAUUUCCCUCAACUUAGUCAGUAGAAACCUUUGUAGGGCUUAGAGGGGUGCUACCUUUUAGAGGUACCUUCCCAAUAAGUAACCUGAUCCCUGAACCUAGACUUGAGUUUUUCAAAUAUACGUUUUUCCAAAAACUAUGGAGUCACUUCUUUAAGGUUUUAUUUCUUGUUUUAUUUUCCCUUUUAAAAUAAAAUAAAAUAAGUGGCGACUCCAACUUUUACAAAACCAAUUUUUCACCAAUAAAAAUGAGUCUUGUCGAUUGAGUGGGGACGCAUGUGAAAAAUGCUGGUCCACACAUACACUAUGUUACUUGUUAUUUUAUUCAAUUCUUAUUGAUGAUUUUACAUGAUAAACAUGAUUGUAUCCUUUAAAAUAUAAAAAUGAUUUUUAUACUUGUUUCCUUUAAUUUCAAACAUGAAAAACUCUAGCCCAUGAUCUUAAGGUUGUAGAUGCUAUGAAUAACUGUGGAUGACAUGAAUGACUGACUCUUACACUCAGGCCUCUAUAUACUAUGACUAGCUCAAGGCUGUUAUUGAUUUGAAAUACUCUGUAUCAUCAACUCAAGGCUAUAGAUGCUAUGAAUAGCUUGAGGUUGGGGGUUGAAAUAAUCAACUCCAGGUCGUGAGCUAAAGGCUCUAGAUCCUAUGAAAAAGUUAAGGCUAUGUAUGAGAUGAACGACUCCGGGUCAUGAGCUCAGGCAUUUAGAGACUAUAAAUAGCUCAAGCCUAUGGUUGACAUGGAACACUCUGGUCAUGACCUUAAGGCUUUAGAUGCUAUGCACAACUCAAGGCUAUGGUUGAUAUGACCGAGCUCUUGUUGAGAAUCAAUUUGACAAGAAGAUCAAAAUUUUCAAAGUGACGAAGGUGAAGAAUUUACUUCAAAUGAAUUUAUAAAUCAUUUAACUCAGCAUGACAUUUCUCACCAACUUUCUUGUCCUCAAACCCCAAGACCAAAUGGGUGUGUAGAGCAAAAGCACUAACAUACAAUUUACCUUAUUAAUAUAUUGUUUCUUUCUUGCAACAAUAAAAAAAACUCCUUAUUUUAAAUUAUUUGAUAAGAAUCUUGUACUCUAAAUUGCAAAUUUUUGUAUCUCAAUGAUUUCCAUAUCUCAAAUAACUAUUCCUUGUGUGUGCGUUGGAUAUAGUCCUCUGCAUAAAAGUUAUAGAUUCUUCCACACCUUUCUCUCAUCAUUAGGAAAAUAAUUCAAAUGAACUUUUAUUAAUACCUCUUUGAUUUCACCACUUUUUUAUCUUCUCAUAACACCACAUCUAAUUCCCCUAAAAUUCUUCUAUAUCACAACUUGACCAUUCCUUCAUUUACGUCCACUUUUCCAAAAGAAAUAGUUACUUCUCUCAUGAUCACAUCAUCUCCUCCUCAUUGCUCUAUUCAAGAAAACCAACCACCUACCUAUCUCCAAGAUUUCAUUGGCCUCUUUAUUUCCAACUCUCCAAAAUCCCAUGAUGUUUUUCUUGUUUUCAUCAUUGAUGCAAAAACUUACAAAACAUCACUCAAAUACACAAAUUGUGUGAUGUCAUGCAAGAAGAAGUCAACACCUAACAUCAUAGUCACACUUGGUCACUUGUCCCACGACCACUUGAUUCCAACGUUAUUAGUUCUAAGUGGAUUUUUCACACUAAGCUAUAAGAAGAUGGUACUUUCGACAAAUUCAGAGCCCAUUUAGUUACAAAAGAUUACUCUCAAAUCCCAGGUCUUGAUGUUGGAGAAACACUUAAAACAAUUGGACAUAAAAAAUGCAUUUUUAUAUGGAGCACUCAAUGAACAUGUGUAUAUAUAGGGCAACCAUCAAGCUUUGUACAUCCAAAACUAUCAAAUCAUGUUAGUAUUCUUCAUAAAUCUCUUUAUAGCCUUAAACAAGUACCUCACACUUGGUUUAUGAAAUUCCUUCAUGCCGUCUCUCUAAUGGUUUUAUUUGGAACAAAGCAAAUUCAUCAUUAAUAUUUAUUAUAGCCAUGGUACUAACAUCAUUCUUUUACUUUAUUAUGUAAAUGGGGUAAUUAUCACAAAUAGUGCUUCUUUUAUUUCUCAUCUCAUCCAACGUCUCUCAAGGAGCUUGGCAAACUUCAUAACUUUCUUAGCUUUGAGAUUAAAUAUUUUCUUGGUGGACUUAUCCUCUCUUAGACCAAAUACACUUGUGAUUCUAGUCAAAGCAAGAAUGCUUGAUGCCUCCAAAAUUAAUACCCUAACAGCUCAAGAACCCAACCUUCUUCCAAACAACAAUGAGUUUUGACAAACCCUACUGAAUGCCAAUUAUGUGGCUCACUCCAAUAACUAACGUUCACUCAACUUGACCUUACUAAUGUACUAAAUCUUGCAUGCCGACACUUUCAAAAUCUAUCGAUGGAGGACCUUUGUGCUAUAAAAUGCAUUUUGUGCUAUAUAAAAUGAACUUUAACUCAUAGUCUUCAUUAUCUAUCUCAAAGCUCUCUCACCUUGAAUGAUGUAGAUUGGGUUAGUUGUCCAACCACUAGAGGAAGCACAACAAAAUUUUGCAUUUUUCUUGAGUUGAAUUGUGUGGUUUGGGCUUCCAAGAAGCAACCUACACUUUCAUGAUGUAACACUAAAGUUGAAUAUCGAUCUUUGGCUACUGUUGCCACUGAAAUCGAAUAUCUCUUUCUUUAUGACAACACAAGUGUCAUUCACUUAGUUCACAAUCUAGCUCUUCAUGCAUGUAUGAAACAUAUUGAGAUUGACUCCCACUACAUACGAGAAAAAGUUACUGUCAAUGCUCUUCACAUAUGACAUCUUCCUACCAAAAAUCAAAUUGCUUAUAUAUUUAGAAAGACUUUAUGGAAAGAAUCUUUCUAAGUAUUUUGUUACAAGCUUACCGUUCAUUAUCAUUGUCUACCAACCUUGAGAGGGGUAUCCUCACAAUUUCCACAAAUCAAGCCAAACAACUUCAAAAGAAUUAACAAUAUCUCAAGAAUCCAAAUCUUCAUAGUUAACCUCUAUUAUUUUCCUUAGAGCUCUUUCUCUAUAAACUUUUGUAUUUUCUUUUAGAAAUAUAUAUAUAUAUAUAUAUAUAUAUAUAUAUAUAUAUAUAUAUAUAUAUAUAUAUAUAUAUUAUUUUCUUUUAAAUGGUACUAUCUCUUUUUUAUAUUAAUCAAAACUUAAUAGUUUAAUUAGUUAUUGAUAAUUUAGAUGUUUAUGUAAUACUUUAUUUUACAAAAUUAAAAUUUUUUACUAUGGUAUUUUAAUUUUAUGAAAUAAAAAAUUUAUUAUUAUUUACUAAAAAUUCGUAAAUGUAAUUUUUAGUGACAAGGGUUAUUUUGUUAGAUAAAAUAAAUUCUAGUCUUUUCAUAUUAAGAAAAAAAUUAAAAAGCUACUUCAGUUUUUUUAAAUGUUUUUAUUCAAUGACAUCUUAUUCCAAUUUUUCCCCAUAAUAAAAAUAAAUCUUAAAUCAUUCUUGACAUAUUAGAAAAUUGAUAUGCAAAAGAUUCAUGUUUGGGAUGAGAAGCCCGCUUGCCAAAAGCGAGUGACGAGCACGGCCAGUCCAGAUCAUGGUGUUCUCUGUUGUCACCCUCUCACCCUGCUGGAAAGGGCCGUUAAUGAUUUGAUUGAGGUGCCUAAUUAUUAUUGACUAAUCCUGGAUUGACUAUUUCUUGGUAAUUAUCUGCAAGACAACACUUGUAGCCGCCUCCCAUUUGUCGCCUUCCCAAGCCUAAGGGUACGUCCAACACACUACCAAAUCUCUCCGCCAUUGAUUCAAGUUAUGAUGAGUUGCAAUUGGAUGCAUCUCACAAACGCCGAACGCAUGGAUAUUUCUUGUGGAGUAUAAAUUCCUUAAUAAUUUUUAAAUCAAUAUAUUAUUAUAAUAUAAUAUUUUUAAAUAUUAUAAUUAUUAAAAAUAUCUUUAAAAAAAGUUACAAAAUGAAAAUAAAUUUUUAAAGAUUAUGUAAGAUAGAUAGAUAUGGGCGGGGUCAGGGACUUUUGUUAGAGGUAAGCUGAAAAAUAUUAUAUUAUAGUGAAGGUAAUUAAGGGUAAUUAUUAUUAUUAUUAUUAUUAAAUAAUUAAAUAAUUUUAAAUAUUAAUUAUGAAAAUGUAUGAAAUAUGAAGAAUAUUUAAAAAAAGUUUUAGAUUUUAUUCAAAACAAAAAUUAUCAAGAACAUUUAAAGAAAAUUUUCAAAAUAAAAUAAAAAUAAAAUAGAAGGAAAAACCAUUAGAAAUUUUCAAUAAUUUUAAUAAUUUGGUAGUCGAAACCCUUAAAAUUAUUUUAAAGAAUUUAAUCAUUUUUGUUAUAAAUUUUGAUAUUUUUCAAAAGGAAAAGGUGUGCGCUUUUAUUGUCUUAUAACUUGAUUUUAUUUAUUUAUACCUUAAUCUUAUUUUUUGUACCUAUGUCAAAGGUUUUUUUUUUUAAUGUACUUUCAAAAGUGGGGAUUAAGAUUUUCAUAAAUAUCAAAUAAUAUCGUAUUUUUUUUCCUUUUUUCAAAUAACUAAAUAUAAGAUAGUUAAAAGUCUUUUACUUAAAACUAUAAUUUGGUUUAAAAGUAUUAUUUUUUUGCUAAAACAAUAAGACAAAAACUAAAACAAUAAUUUAUGUGGUAAAUUAUAGCUAAAACAAUAGCAGUUUAAAAGUAUUAUUUUUUUAUAAUUUGGUUAAUUCCAAUAAGACAAAAUCAUAAAAAAUAAAUGGGUUUAAUACACUUUGCCCCUUCAACCUAUCAUUUGUUUUGCACAUUAUCCCUUUAGGUUUAAAAUGAAACACAUUGCACCCCAUGCUUAUUAAAUUGCAGCACUCUACCUUAAUCGUUGAACAAUGUUAGCUUUAGUGGACGGAAAUAUCACGUGUUAUGCAAGUGACUAACUAAUGAAUGGUAGAUCUAGAGAAUCCUAACCCUGAAAAUAUCACGUGUUAUGCAAGUAAUUGACUAAUGAAUGGUAGAUCUGGAGAAUCCUAACCCCGAAAAAGCCCCAAACAACUCUCAGGCUUCAUCUUCGUUUGAAGCCUUAACCCAUUGAAACCCUAAGGCCCCAAAUACCUAAUACAAACAUCAAAAGGCUGAGAGUUCGAUUGAAAUGGAUUUUAACAGCAAAUCUUGUCAUUCCAUUAAUUAUAAAACAUGGAUUUCAUAGCUUAAUUCCAUCAAGGCCCCAACCACAACUUCUCAUCAAUUCAAAUUGUUCACAAAAAAUACAAAACUAAACCAAAUUGGGAGGGAGCCUUCAUCAGAUCUACAAAUUUCUAGGUAACACUGGUACAAAGCUUGCCUAAAAGAACUUACACCAUUUCUUUGUAGCAUGAUGACUAGAAGAGCCAAACAAAUUGCCCAUGGAAUGAUCAUCAACCAAAACAUACAUUUAACCCUUUUUUGAUAAACAAAUACUUCAUUUUCCCUUUUCUUUAGACCAUUCAACAAUCCAAGAAUGAUUUUCUUCGACCUAUCAUGGAGCAUUGUACAUGAAUAAUCCACAUCCUCCACAUCUCUUUACCAAAAAUUAAACACAUAUAAUAAUAAGAUGUCUACAAAGAACAAAUGACCAAGAAUCGAUAUAAAAAUCAAUACAUUAUUUAUCACAUCCCAAAAACCUUCUCAAUUAAUAGGAGGAUCCUCCAUUACUCUUGUAGCUAUGUUUCUUCACAAAGCUCUACUUGCCAGAUUCUAGUGCUUCAGAUUUGUUAGGGCUUUUAGGGUUUUGAUGGGUUAGGGCUUUGAAUGAAAAACAAAGACAAAGCUCUCUGUUUGGGUUUUUUUGGGGUUGGGAUUUUCCAAAUCUACCCUUCAUUACUUAGUCACGUGUACAACAUAUGAUAUUUCCAUCCACUAAAACUAACACCGUUCAACGAUCAAGGCAAAAUGUUGCAAUUUAAGAAGCAUGAGGUGCAAUGUGUUUGAUUUUAAACUUAAAGGGGCAAUGUGCAAAACAUAGGAUAAAUUGAGGGGGCAAAGUGUAUUAAACCAAAAUAAAUAUAAAAAAAAAUUGAAUAAACAAGAAAAAAUAAGUACUAAUAUCAAUUGAGAUUUUAUUUAUUUUUGUUAUAAAAUAUGAGAAUUUAUCAGGAACUUGUGGGUGAUCAUUCAUAUUAAUGUACAUCUUUUUGUGACUUCUUAUAAAAGGGUGAGACCUCUAAUGAAAGUUCAUCAUGUUUUCUUCCUAUAUUCUAAUUUCAUUUUUUUCAUUUUCUUUUCCUCCCACUUAUUAUUUUACAACAUGUUAUCAAAACGACGCUUUGAGUAUGUAAGAAAAAAAUAAGAAUGUUCGAGAUAAAAAAAAAUGAGAAGAAUUCAUCAAUAAAAUUUCUUAUAGGUAUGUAACCUUAUUUUCUUCAAACAAAAUAUGAAAAGUAGUAUGCAUUGUCUUCUAUUAUUAUAAUUUUUAUUUACUUUAUCUCAUAGCUAGAGGUUAUGUAAAUCAUAUUUCAUAUAAUCAAACUAAAAACUUGUAAUUGUAGAUAUUUUAAUUAUUUAAUAACUAAAAGCUAUAUAGAAAAUUUUCAUAACUAGAAGUUAUAAAAAGUAUGUACAAUUCUCAUAACCAAAAGUUAUAGAGUAAAUUACAAAAUCGCAAAUACAUAACCGAAAGCUAUGCAUAUGAUCCAUAAUUACUUUUUAAUUAUAUUAUAUAACUAGAAGUUAUAUAAAAUAACAUUAUAUAGCCAAAAGCUAUAUAAUGAAUAGUUCAUAACUUGAAGCUAUAUACAAAUUUGCAAAAUGAAUAAUUCAUAACUUGAAGCUAUUUACAAAUUUGGAUAAUGAAUAAUUCAUAACCUGAAAUUAUGUACAGAUCUACAUAAUGAAUAAUUCAUAACCUAAAACUAUGUACAAAUUUGCAUAAUGAAUAAUUAAUAGCUUGAAGCUAUGUGCAGAUUUGCACAUUUUUUGUUUUGACAAAAUAAUCAUAAUUCAAAGUUAUGAAAAACAUUGGCUUUUAAUUUUUAUUUCGUAUUCACGCAUUUUUCAUAACAAGAAAUUAUUGAAACAAUUUUUAUUAAUAAUUGUUUUAUAGACAGAAGAUAUGUAUACAAUUUCUAAUUUUCUUAUGUAAUCAGAAGUUAUAUAAAACAAAAUUAUCAAUUAACAACUAUGUAGCUAGAGGAUACAUGGACAAUUUUUAAUCUUGUUGUAUAACCAAAAGUUAUAUCAUAACAUAAUUGUCAAAUGUUUAAUGUUAUUAUAAUAUUACUGAAAUUUAAUUAUUCAUAACCUGAAACUAUGAAGAAAAAGUUAGUAAAUUAAUAAUUGUUAAAACUUGUAUAACCAUAAGCUAUAUGAAAAAAUGUUUUAUUAUAAACUUGUAUUAUAUAGUCAAAAGCUAUACAAAUAUUAUUACUCAUAAUAUGAAGUUAUGUAACUAAGAAAAUUAAUAUUAUUUGUACUAAUCAAAAGUUAUGUCAAAAUUGUUAAUAUGUACUUUCUUAUAGCUAAAAGUUAUAGAGAACAAAAUUGUUAACUAACAAUUGUGUAGAACUUUAUAAAAUUCAUGUAAUAAAAAAUUAUAAUGAAAUAUAUUAUAACUUGAAGCUAUGAUAACAAAAAUAUAGAUAAUAUUUAUAUAUUAUCAAAAUAUUAAUAUUUUAUACAUCAAAUUAUACAAAGAGAAAAAUGUUUGAUAGUUUUUAUAAAUUCAUAUUAUUAGAAGUUAUGUUGUUAUUAGUAGAAGUAUUUACAUGUAGAUAUAAAAUUUUGGGUUGCAUGAAAGUAUGAUAUUUAUACUUAAUAUUCUUGUGUUAUAGGUAAUAUUUUGAAAUAUUUUUUUAUUCUUCUCAUAAAAAAAUUCCCAUGAAAAAUGUCAUGUAAUAAGAAUAUUUUGUAAAUUUGGUAUAUAUAUUUUUGUGGGUGUUGCAAAUAAAAUAUGAGCUUGGUGCAAUUUGUCAAUGCUCUUUCGGGUUUUUCUCCUUGAUUGUUGCAAAUAAAUAAAUUUUCCUUUUCCUCGAGAAUUUUGCAAACCAAACAAAGGUGGAUUUGGACCGGCAUCAAGCCUUUUUGGAUCAACCCACAUGUCAACCUCAAAUGAACCUAAUUGAUGUUUAGAUCAGAAUUUUAAAGAACAUUUAUUAAUUAGAUUUUAAUGUAUGCUACGAAUAAUUGUUGGAAAUCACAGCCGACUCACCCAUGACUUGGCUGUUUCUGACUUGGAAUAUCUGGGCAUCCAUUGACUGACUUAAACAACCUACCCAUAUUUCUAGAAAAGUAAUUAGUAAAUAUGAUUUCUGGCACCCAUUGACUGACUUAAACAAUUUUUCCCCAUAUUUCUAGAAAAGUAAUUCAAAAGGAUGAUUACAAAAUAUCAGUUGCCCAUCUUGACCGCCGGUAGCAUCCUCCUCACUCACAAACCACAUGUUUUAAUUUCUAGUACAACUCAGCCUUUUGAACAAAUGAUUACAAAAUGUUUUAAGGUAAAAAUAAAAAAUAAAAUGCUCUUUAAAAAGACGAGUAUAAUAUAAAAAAUAAAUUUAUCUUCUGAAAAGAUGAGUUUGAUAAAAAAUAAAAAAAGUGUCGAAAAAAAUCACAUUUUUAUAUUUAUUUUUUAAAAUAAUUGUAUUUUAAUAAUAUUUAAAGAAAAAAAGCAUUUUUAUUAAGAAUAUUUCUUUGUUAAUUUUGUCUUUUUAAUGAAAAAAAUAAAAAGUUUUAAAAUAAAUUUUCCCUUCGUGGAAUAUGAGUUACGUGUCCCACAAGGCUGAUUAACUGAUUCACUCCGACACACCAUGUGGAAUGUUGUCCUAUGAAGCUUGAAGCUUGUCCAUAUUUCAAACAACCCGAGUCACAAUGGUUGAAAGGUCAAAAGCUCUAGGAUCGUAGGAUCAUAAUCUUCAGCCCCGAGAGCCUAAUUUUUCGGGUCAUCAUAGGGGACUCCUCUCUAUAAAUUCGAGAGGUGAUGAAGCAAAAAUCAUUCAACAAAAAUGGAGAGGAGAGGCAUAUGCAAGGUGGUGGUGUUGCUGUCUCUAGUGGCUUGUGCCGCUGCCCAGAGCGCCAGCAAUGUGAGGGCCACCUACCAUUACUAUAAUCCGGCGCAAAAUGGAUGGGACUUGAACGCAGUGAGCGCCUACUGCUCCACUUGGGAUGCCAGCAAGCCCUUGGCAUGGCGCAGCAAGUAUGGAUGGACUGCCUUCUGUGGACCUUCUGGUCCUACUGGCCAAGCUGCCUGUGGCAAGUGCCUUAGUGUAAGAUUCUAAUUAUCAAACAAUCUCUCUCUCUCUCUCUCUCUCUCUCUGUAUAUAUACAUGUAUAUAUAACCUGAACUAUUUGAGGUGUGCAGGUGACAAACACUGCCACAGGAACUCAGGCAACAGUGAGAAUAGUGGACCAAUGCAGCAAUGGAGGAUUGGAUUUGGAUUCCGGAGUGUUCAAUCAACUAGACACUAAUGGGGCUGGCUACGCCAAAGGUCAUCUUACAGUCAAUUACCAGUUUGUGAACUGUGGUGACUAAACCACUACUCCCCUUGUUCCUAAUAAUAAGAGAUUAUGGUGCAAAAAUAAAUAAGCAUGGAGUUAGCCGCUUCUACUGCAAUAAAAUGUUGUCAAACUUUGAGUUUGGCUUUGUAUGAAUUUGCAAGAGCAAAAAAUCACAUAUAAAUCUUUAUGAAUUCUGCUUUCCUCCUGCUUUCUUUUAACCAGCAAAGUUUUCCCCUUAUCCCAAAGGGUUUUUAAUUUUUUUUAAUACUUGAAAAUUUUUAUCCAAAAAAUUGAUUUUAAGUAAUAAAAAAAUUGAAAACAUUCUUUAAAAUCAUUUUCACACAAGCUCUUAGUCAUGUCCAAGUAUUAAAAAAUUAAGAAAAUCACUUUUAUGUUAGUUGAUACAACACGAUUUGAGCAUAUCAAUACUGAAAGGAACAGAUAUAUUUGACAAAGAAACAUCCAAAAAAAAUGAAAAAUUAUUAUCAAAAUUGAAGAAAAAUUGCCACCCAUAAUUGAUGUGACCUUUUAUAAUAAUUUAUAAAUUGAUUAUUAAUAUGUCAAUGAUGUAAUGCUUUUUAUUACGUCACCCGUAUUUAUAACAAAAUCAAACUCCAUAAAGCAAAAUUAAGAAUAAAUAAAGUUUAUUUUUCGUUCUCCUUAAUAAUAGUUUGUCGCAUUUAGUCAAAAGACUUUCUUCAAAUUGAUAAAUGGUAGUUUUUUUCAUUCAUACUUUCAUUCGUCCAUGUACAGAGUAUAUAUAGAGGGUAAUCACCAUUCUAAGAAUGGGAAAAAAUGAUACAAGGAAAGAAUGAUAUAAGGAAAUAACAACUAAUAUCCUAAUAUCUCAAUUUUCCUAAUAUCUCAAUAUUCCUAGUAUCUCAAUAUUCCUAAUAUCUCAAUAUUCAUAAUAUCUCAACUUUCCUAAUAUCUAAACAUUCCUAAUAUCUCAACACUAAAUGAUAUAAGGAAAGAAUGAUAUAAGGAAAGCAUUCCUAAUAUCUCAACACUCCCCCUCAAGUUGGUGCAUAGAUGUCACACAUGCCUAACUUGUCUAAAAAUUUUGAGAACACUUGACUUGAGACAACUUUGGUAAGGAUAUCGGCCAAUUGAUCUUCUGAUCGAAUCUUAGGUAAUUCCACAAUCUUAUCAUCCAACUUUUCCUUAAUGAAGAAUUUAUCCACCUCGACAUGCUUUGUACGAUCAUGUUGUACUGGAUUAUGAGCAAUGUCACAUGCGGCUUUAUUGUCACAAAACAAUCGGAUUGUUUGCCUAGAUAGGUAAACUAAAUCCUGUAAGAGGAGUCUUAGCCAUAAUGCCUCACAAAGUCCUAGAGUCAUACCUCUAAAUUCCGCUUCUGCACUUCAACGACCGACGACAUUCUGCUUCUUACUUUUCCAUGUCACAAGAUUACCACCUACAAAGGUAAAGUAACCAGAUGUAGAUUGCCUAUCAUCCACUGCACCGGCCCAAUCAGUAUCAGUAUAUACUUCUAUACUCUGAUGAUCAACAUUUUUAGCGAACAAAAUUCCCUUCCCAGGAGCAUUCUUCAAAUACCUCAAAAUACGCAUGACUGCAUUCAUAUGUUGCUCUCCAGGAUUAUGCAUGUAUUGACUCACUGCACUCAAUGCAUAAGCAAGAUCUGGUCUUGUAUGAGCUAAGUACAUUAAUCUCCCCACAAGUCUCUGGUAUCUUCCCUUAUCGAUUGAUACUUGAUUAGGCUCAACACACAAUUUCAAACCUUCUUCUAUUGGUGUAUUAACAGGUUGACACAAUGACUUCUUUAAUUUGCACACCUUCUGACAUUGCUUUUCUGACACCAUGCAUCCUGGUGGAAGAUCCAUAUAUACUUCUUCAGAUAACUCGCCAUGCAUAAAGGCAUUUUUCACAUCGAAUUGUUGUAAUGGCCAAUCUAGGUUUGCAGCUAAAGACAAUAAUACUCGAAUUGUGUUGAUCUUAGCUACAUGUGCAAAUGUCUCUGUGUAGUCAAUUCCAUAAGUUUGAGUGUACCAUUUUGCUACCAGUCUUGCUUUAAAUCGUUCAAUACUACCAUCUGCCUUGUACUUCACAAUAUAGAUCCAACGACACCCAAUUGGCUUCUUUCCUGGUGGACAUUCUACGAGUUCCCAUGUUUUAUUCUUUUGCAAUGAUUUCAUCUCUUCAUUCAUGGCUGCUUUCCACCUUGGAUCAGCUAAGGCUUCCUGUACACUGUUAAGAAUAGUUACAGUAGAUAAUUGAUUUACAAAUGACUUAUUUGAUUCAGACAAACGAUGGGUAGACACAUAGUUGCUCAUGGGAUAUUUGACUUUAGUAGACAAUUCAGAUUCAUAUGUGGGUUUAGGAAUACCUCUAUUAUGACGAUGUGGUAACCGUUUCAUGAAAGGAUCAUGUUCCAAAUUAAGAACACCCUCAACAGACGACGAUUGGUUUGGUAUUUCAGUGAAGACAUCUUCGGACCCAAAUUGUUGACCACUCAUAUCCAACUCACCCACUUCCUGGUUCACUAGUUCAGAUUGUCUAUAUUCAUCUUCCUCAGAGAUAUGAUAAUCAUAAUUGAGAGUUUGAAUUUCCUUAUGGUACUCCCCCUGAAGUUUAGACUCAGAUGAAAAAUACAUUGAAUCUUCAUGAAACACCACAUCCAUUGUAAUAUACAUUUGUCAAGUUGGAGGAUGGUAACAUCGAUAUCCCUUUUUGUGCAAUGCAUAUCCAACAAACACACAUUGCAAUGCAUGGGAAGUUAACUUGGUGCGUUGGUGCUUGUGUAGAUGCACAAAUGCCACGCAACUAAAAACACGAGGAGGUAGAUUUGGGACGGUUGGGGCAACUACGACAUUAGUAAGAGCUUGGAGAGGUGUUUGAAAGUUAAUUGAACUAGAAGGUACCCGAUUGAUCAAGUAUGCGGCAGAUGUGAUUGCUUCUCCCAAAUAAGAUAUCGAUGUUUUGGCUGCUAUCAAGGAAGCACGAACAACCUCUAACAAGUGUCGAUUUUUUUGUUCAGUGACUCCAUUUUGCUGGGGUGUAUUGGAACAAGUAGUCUGAUGAAUGAUGUCAUGUCCUUCCAAAUACUUUUGAAGAUCAGAACUUUGAUAUUCUCCACCAUUAUCACUACGCAGAACCCGAACCUUUGCAUUGUACUGAGUUUCAAUCAUUUUAUGAAUUUUUUUAAACAACAAGUUCACUUCAUCUUUGGUCUUCAUCAAGCAAAACCAUGUCAUUCUGGUACAAUCAUCAAUAAAAGUAACAAACCAACGUGAGCCACUCAAAGUUGGGACUUUGGAUGGGCCCCAAACAUCAGAAUGUAUAACCAUAAAAGGAAAUGAACUUUUAUUCAAAAUUAACGGAAACGAAGCACGAUGGCUUUUAACCAAUUCACAAAUAUCACAACGGAAACCAGAAAUAUCACUCUUUGCAAACAAACUAGGAAACAAUUUUUUAAAAUAACCAAAUGAAGCAUGUCCUAGACGUCGAUGCCACAACCAAAUUUCAGACUUUUUCUUCUCCCCCUCAAAUCCAUCUGCCAUCAAGGCUUGUUGCAACUUAUUUGAAUCCUUUGAUUGCAAGUCCAAGUAAUAGAGUUUUCCCUGUUUCAUACCACAACCAAUCGUCUGUCUUGUUUGGAUGUCCUUAAUCACACAAAAUUCAGGCCAAAAAAUGACAAUACAAGAUAAGACUGUAGUGAUUUGAGAAACUGACAAAAGAUUGUAAUCUAAAGAUGAAACAACUAAAACAGAAUCCAAAUUCAAAGUAUCAGUAAGAGUUAAGGAUCCUUCCCCAAUGACUAGGGUUGUGUUACCAUUGGCUGUGGAAACAAUUUUUUGUGAGGAAGGUCUAAGGGGUGAAACCUGUCUAGAAUCAAAAGUCAUAUGAUCUGUAGCACCAGAAUCAAUUAUCCAUGCACUAUUAAUAACAGGUGUAAAAGUAUUUAAAAACUUACCACCAUGAUCAGUAGCGGCUACCAAUGCAGAGGCUUUCUCAGCAACAUUAGCCUCUGUUUUUAUUUCUGCAACAGUUGUAGUCGAGGUUUUCUUGGAAUCCUUCUUCCGUUGAUCACGAUUAUUAUAAUUAAUAACAAAGUGUUGAUAGCCUAAACAUGAUCUAAAGGUCCAUGGUUCAAACCCUCGGUUCCUUAUUGUUUUCCUGGUCAUACCAAAAGUCGUUGCUUUGAAAUUGUGGGAUAUCCAAACUGGUGGGACCAGUCUUAUUGAAGUGAGUGCAUUUGAAGGUUGACUUAUCAAUAUUAGGGCUUGUCUUAGGAUGGUUGAUCGCUGUCGGACUACCAUAGCGACAAAAUAUCCAGGAUUUCAGUUCCCUAACUCUGAUACCAUCUUCAAAUUGAUAAAUUGUAGUUUUUUCAUUCAUACUUUCAUUCGUCCAUGUACAAAGUAUAUAUAGAGGGUAAUCAUCAUUCUAAGAAUAGGAAAGAAUGAUAUAAGGAAAUAAUAACUAAUAUCCUAAUAUCUCAAUUUUCCUAAUAUCUCAAUAUUCCUAGUAUCUCAAUAUUCCUAAUAUCUCAAUAUUCAUAAUAUCUCAACUUUCCUAAUAUCUAAACAUUCCUAAUAUCUCAAAACUAAAUGAUAUAAGGAAAGCAUUCCUAAUAUCUCAACAAACUUUAACUAAUUUAUUUUUUUACAUUUAGUCAAAUUUAUUUUUUUACAUUUAGUCAAAACUACAUGUAAUUAAUUUUUUUAAUUUAAAAAUUGAAGGAAGUGAAACUAUUUUAAGGUUAUUUAAUUAAAAGGGUAAUUGAAAAUUUAAUUUUGAAAAUCUAACCCUUCAUUUUUUUUUAGUCUUAUUUUAAUAAAAAUGUCCUUAUUGUUUUCUUGUAACAAUAAAAAUUUCUUUUAAAACAUAUUGUAAAUAUUUGAAACAGUUAAGGACUUUUAUGUCAAAAAUAGGUUACUUAAAAAAACAUGAAAAUUGAUAAAUUCAUAAAUAUGGAGAGAAUUUUAUCCCUUUUAAUAAAUUAUUUUAAUAUUUAUUUUACUUUCUUUAAAAAAAAAACUGUAAUCUAUAUUUAUAUAUAAAAAUUCCUACAUUUUAUACCAAGCUUCUAUGUUUAAAAACAAAAAAAAUAGAGAAUACAUCCAAACAUCACUUUAAGUUUUAUCAUAUUUGAUUUUUCUUGACAUUUUUCAUGAGAUUUCAAAUUCUUUUUCCCUUGAUCUCUACAAAUAUCUAUAAUCCAAACAAGAUUUAUAGUGAUUUAGGGAAUCCAAACACAACUUGUACUAGAGGUGUGGGACAAUGAAAUCGAUUGGCCAAUCUGGUCUUUCCUAAUCCUAGCUAAGACCCUUUCUCAUUCUUCCCUAAUUACAAACAAUUCGAGCUGGAGCGACAAGGACGGACCACCACUACUUCUUCCAGAGCCAUUGAUUGAAUUUUCUAGAGAAGAAGGUAACAUGUACAACAUUAAUGUGCACGGUAGAAAUUCUGAUUUGUGAGUGGUAAUGGCGACUGCCGUCUUUUAAUUAGGAUUGUCAGGGGGACAAGCCUUGUUUUAAUGACCAAAUAGUACAUCAUGUUAAAUGUUGAUCAUUAAACCUUUCCUUCAAGAAUUUUCAGAUCUUCAACUUACUGUCUUCUAAAGUCUUCAAUCUUUGAAUCUAGGCUUGAAUAGCUCCUGACGAUUUGAAAUUCGUUUCUUUUAGGUUUUGAGAAAGUAUUAAGAAAAAAAAUAUAUUCAAGAAAAUAAUUUUUUUUAUAUUUCAUUUCUAUAUUUUAAAAUAAUUUAUUGAUUUUGAAUCAAUUUUUUUUAUUUUUCUUCACUUAUUAUUUUCUUUUACUUUUUCCCUUUAUUUUAUUUCCAUCACAUUUUUCCUCAAAAUUUCCAAAAACCAAACAUAGUCUUAGGGUAUGUUUGGUUCCAGAGAUUUUGAGAGAAAAUGCAAAAUAAAAAAAAACAUAAAAUAAAAAUAGAGGAAAAAAAGUGAAUGAAAAUAAAAAAUAAGUUUAAAUUUAAUAAAUAAUUUUUAUAUGUUUAUUUGAACUCAUUUCACUUAUUUCUCUUUUUUAUAACAAUAUUAAAUAAUUUAAAAACAUAUAAAAUUUUAAUCAAUUUUAAUUAUAUAUAUAUUUUUUUUUAUUUUUCACAGUAAAACAAAACAUAAGAUAGUAUUUUUUUUUUUCUCUUUUCUUAGUAUUUUUUAGUAACCAUUUUUUUUUUUUUUUUUUGAGGACACACUUUUUUAGGGAUUGACAAAGACAUAGGGAUGGUUUUUCCCUCACUUCUAAUUCUUAAUUAAAGUUAAUGCUUGAGGAGUUUUUGACAAUGAUUUAUAUAGUUUUUUAUGUUAAUUUUUUUAUUUUUUAUUUUUUAUCUUGGAGUAUUGGAAGAGUAUUAAUGAUGACAACAGGGCAUAUUUUUCCAUGCGCCCCAUCCUCCUGGGUUUAGUCCGGAUUUGAGAAUUCUUUUAAAACUUGAGAUGGGUUCAGAUAUGACUUUAUCCCAUCCCGUCCAAUUAUGUAUAAUAUUAAAUAAAAAAAUAUUUUAAUUGAUGUUUUUCAUUUUCAACUUUUUUUCAUAUAUAUAUAAUAUCACUUUUCAUAAAAAGAAAUUAUAAACAUUUAUAAUAUUUAUUUAGUUAUAAACUGUGUUUAUUUUUAAUAGAAUCUAAAUUUUAAAAGUAGAAAAAAAUUAAAAAUUGAAAAAAAAAAAUUAAACAAGGCAAACCUGCCUUGUUUAAAAAAAAAUUGUUGAUAGGGACGACAAUUAAUUUAAAUAAACAAGAAGGGUGGGAUGGAGUGAGCCAUCUCGGACUCACCAUUUUGUCAUCCCUAAAGAGUAUACUUAGAUAAUUUUAAAAUUAUUUUUAAUGAAAACUAAUAUUUAUCUUUUUAACUAUCAAAUUCACAAUUUUAUUUACUAGAAUGGUUUACUUACUUCAUUUAAUUUGAAGAUAAUUUAUUUUACUCCAAUAUGGUUCCCAUGUGGAAUAAAUUUUAAUCUAAUUUAAGGGAAUUAUUGUGUAAGGAUAAAUUUUAUUUUGUCACUAUCUCAUAUUAUAAGUAUGUAACAUAGUAAUUUUUUUAAAAAAUAUUUGGAUAAAAGAUGAAAUAAUUUUGUAAAUUUAGUCCUUCCCAUGUUUUUUUUUUUAAAGUAUCUCAUUUUUUACAUAAAUGUAAUUUGUCAUUUGUCAUUUGAAGUAUUUACACGUAAAUUUUUUUUUUUUAAAUGUUAUUUCUACAAGAAAAUAAUGAAGACAAUUUUACCCAAAUAAAACUAAAAAAAUGAUAAAAGGUUAAAUUUCAAAAAUUGGGUUUUUAAAUACUUUUUUAAGCAAAUAACCCUUUUUUAUUUGGCCAUGAAUUAACAUAUGUUAUUUCAUAAGUUGUCCUUGGAUUACACUUAGGUGGUUAAUAAAUGAAGAAUUUAAAAAUAAAUGAGUAUUAAUUUAACUAAAGUUUAUCACAUUUGAUGUUUCUUCAUAUUUUAAAUGUGAGAUUUUGGAUGAUCUUUUCCCUCUGCAACCCAAACAAGAUUUUAGGGAUUUAGAGAAUCCAACACAGCUUUGUACCGAUUUUCAUAGAUGUGGUCAUAUGCAGGUAGGGUGGGACAAUGAACCCACCAGUCUGACUUUUCCUAGCCAGGGACCUUUCUCAUUCUUCGCUAACUACAAACAAAUCUAGCUGGAAUGAUAGAGACCAUAGAUGCUUCUUCCACAUCCAUUCAUUGAAUUGUUUUUAAUAUUUCAUGAAGAAUUAUGUUUUAAGGUGAGACCCGAUAAUUGAUCCAACAUCCUCGUAUCCUUAUAUUUGAGUUCAAGACCUAAUGGUGAAUUGAAAGUUAAAUCGAAGAACAUUAAUUUUCAAAAUUUCUUAAAUUGCCUUUAUGGAAGAAGGAAAAAAAAAAAAAAUUAUGUUUCCACCUCUCUUUCAUUCUCUCUCUCCAUUCACUUUCUCUCUUGUUCGUUCACCUCGCCUUUCUCUCACAUAUUUAUUCGUCGGAGUCAUGGGAUCAUGUAGAUUGUUGCUAGUUGAGGAGGUGGCACCAUUUCCAUCAUUCAUUGUUCUCCCAAAAAUCAUAUCCAACCAAUUAAAUAUUGGAGAUGAAUAGUUAAAAACUAUUAUUACCAAAUGCAUUUUUUAAAUAACUCAUAAGUGUUUUUUGUCUAUAGAAUAUAUAAUAAAUAUUUUUUAUAAACACCUCAUAAAAUAUUAUUAUUAUUCUUAUUCUUAUUCUUUAUAUAUAUAUAUAUAUAUAAACUAUUUUUUUAUAUAAAUAUUUUUAAGAUUAUAAACAGUUAUUUAAAUAUUUUCUUUAUUUAAGGUUACAUUUAUUUCAUGCAAAGAGGUAUAUAAAGAGAAUAUAAUGGAGCACAAAUUAGAUGAAAAUCACCUUAAAUAGGGAUUUAAUAGAAAACAUGAAAUUAUGAGAAAAAAAAUAAAUGAAAUUUAAGAUAAAGAAUCUAAGAAAAUAAAUUAAAACUAAUGACAUAAAAAUCAUAAAAUCUUCAAAAUUAUAAUUACAACUAAAAAUUUUAAAUUUAAUAACUCGAUAAUUUAAAUUAAUGAUUUUUCUAUUAAAAAAAAGUACAAAUGUUACAAAAAUAUUUUUCGUUCAUUUUUAAUUCUAUUUAAAUAUGAAUUUUUAAUCUCCGCUAAAAUUAUUUUUAUAAAGGUAAAAUAGUAAUAUAUAUGUAAUAAACACUUUAAAUAUGAUUAAUUUUAAUUUUAUUUUCUAUGUUUUAAUUUUGGUAGAGAAGGUCUUAAUGACAUAGUUUAAUGAAAAAUAUUGAUAAUUUGUCUUCAACAGUUAUUAUAUGUUGUUUAUAUUGUUUUAAGUCAUUUGAAACAAUAACACUAAUGUGUUAUUCAUUUACGUCAAUUUGAUUUCACAAAAAAUGUAGGACCUAAAUAUUGUGGUUAAUCCUCCUUCAUCGGGGAUGAAAAUAUGCUAAGAAAUAAUAUUGUUAAAACUACUUAUAUGAAAUAUGCAAUUACAAAUUUUGGAUAAUGAAAUUUAAAAUUCGAAUUGAAAUAAUUUUAGAUGACAAGAAAAAAAAUGGUUCAAAAUCGAUUAAAAUUCUACACAAAUAGUAGUUUUGUACAUCCCUUGUACAAUUAAUACAUUUACAUCGAACCGUUAAUGUAACAUUUUUGCACAAUGGUGCAAAUUUCAUAUAUUUGUAUGAAUAAUGUAUUCAUAUAGAUAUGUGGAUCAUGUUUCCAAUAAUUUGGUUCAAAAAAAGGUGAAAGACUUAAAAGAAUAAAUUUUUUCUCCAAAUAUUAUUAAUGAGGUAAGUAUUAAAAUUAUCGUACGUAAAUUAAAUAAAGACUAUAAGAUGGGUGUGUGAUGAAGGAACGUGUAACAUGAGAGUGUAAUGGGGUGAUAAGAAAAAAAAUGGAUUGAUCGAAAUCCUUCAAUAAAAGUAUUUGUUACAUCUCACAUUAGAUAAAAGAGAAAUUUUUUGGCAUUAUAUAAAUAUGAGUCGUUACAUUAAUCCUCUUUAAUAUUUUUUAUAUUAUAAUCAAAUAUGAAAAAUCAUUUGCAAAUCAAAUUUCUAGGCUUUAGUAAUUUAAUUAGAUCAAAAAUUAAUAUUCAUGUCUGAAACUUGCACGUGCCUCGCAUUUAAUAUUUUGUGAGCCAUAGUUAUGACGUGUAUAAUCAAUGAAUCGAUAAAUGUACAUGUCUAGAGCAUCGGUAGUGGAGAUAGACUAUACUUUAUGACAACACAUUUUAAUUGCCCAUUUUGAAUUAAUUUUAAUUAUAAAUUUCAAUGUAAUGAUUUUUUUGCUUCUUAAAAAUAUGUUUGAUUUAAAAAAAAAUCAAAAAAAAAAUGAAAGAAAAUAUCAGUGAAAGAAAGUUUAAAAAUAGAUCUAAAAUUAAUAAAUUUUCUUUAUAAUUUAUUUUAACUUUUUUUUAUAUAUAAAAAUUCAAUAAUUUGAAAAUAUAUAAAAUUUUAAUUAAUUUUAAUUAUAUUUUAUUUUCUUUUGUAUUUUUAUAAUAAAAUUAAAAAAAAAAAUCAUUUUUUAAUGCUUUUUCAGAAACCAAAAAUAGCUUUAAAAAAAGGAUGUUAGUUCUCAUGUUGACAUUCAAACAAAUAGCUAUCUCAAGACCAUUGAAUAUGUCUUAAUUGGCUUAUCCAGAAGGUUUUAUUUCAUCCACCCAAAGUGGGUUGUUGCCCCCACUAACUCGUCCCUAUUACAUUCAACUCAUGGAUAUGAAAUUCAAAUUGAAUUCCAUAACCUCUACCUCACAUCCUUUUCAAACCACAAGCCACUUCCAUAUAAACUCAGUGCUGAUACACCAAAAAUCAUACAACCAAAAUGGAGGGGAAAAUCAUAUACAUGGUGGCGGUGCUGCUAUCUUUAGUGGCUUGUGCCGCAGCCCAACAGUGCGGCCGCCAGGCCGGUGGCCGGACUUGUGCCAACAACCUCUGCUGCAGUCAGUAUGGCUACUGCGGAACAACGGCUGAGUACUGUUCUCCAUCCCAAAGCUGUCAAAGUAACUGCCAAUCCGGCGGAGGUAGCAGUGGUGGCGGCGGCACAGGUGCUAGUGCAAGUAACGUGAGGGCUACUUACCAUUACUACAAUCCGGAGCAACAUGGAUGGGACUUGAAUGCAGUGAGCGCCUACUGCGCCACUUGGGAUGCCAACAAGUCCUUGGCAUGGCGCAGCAAGUAUGGGUGGACUGCUUUUUGUGGACCUGCUGGCCCUACUGGCCAAGCUGCCUGUGGCAAGUGCUUGAAGGUAAGAUCAAUCAUAUGAAACCGGUUCCUCAAUUUCUCAUGUAUGUUUGUUUUUUCUUAACAUUUUGUUGAAAUUUAUAUGUUUUUAUAAAAUUUAAUCACAUUUAGUGUGAUAUCCCACGUUGAAUAAGUACGAGCUUAUUUUAAUCUUGUACACACAUUUUAAAAUCGUGAGGUUCAUUUGGAUGAACAGCAGACUACAUGGAUGAAUACGGGUUUUGAAAUCUUUAUAAUAAAAAUUUUCAAGUGUGAGAAAUAUUAAAAACACUUUAUAAACUUACCAUCAAACACAUUCUAAACUUGUUUAUAAAUAGUACCAUGAUUGCUUAAUCUAAUCAUUCUUUCUCGAAGUGCUGGAGCUUCUCCAUACCUCUGUUAUUUGUUUUCCGGGUCAAAUUCUUCUUGGUAUCCAUCUCUAUCCUGAAUUUGGAGGGUCCAGUAGCGAGAAACUCUAGUAAUUUCUUAGAAAAAAAGAAACUAUUAGUAAUUAAAGCCAGUAAUUCAAACUACAAUAUCUUUCGCAAAUAUUUAUUUAGACAACAAUUUUAUUUUUAUCCUACAAAUUUUAAUUUUGAUAGCGACUUUAUGUGAACUGGCCAUAAUUGCAGGUCACAAAUACUGGCACGGGGACACAAGCAACAGUGAGAAUUGUGGAUCAAUGCAGCAAUGGAGGACUGGAUUUGGAUGUCGCAGUAUUCAACCAACUGGACACUAAUGGGGUUGGCUAUCUCCAAGGUCACCUUAUAGUCAACUACCAGUUCGUGGACUGUGGUGAUUAAAUCACUACUCUUCUUAUUGGUAUGAUCAAAUAGUAAGAGAUCUUGUCACCAAGAGAAAUAAACAUGAAGCGAAUAGCUUUGUGGAAUAUUUAAUAAAAUGAUGUCAAGUCUAAGCUUGACUUCACCCUAAAUAUGCAAGAGACGUUGAAAAAUUACACCAUCUGUCUACCACAAGCUUUCAUAUCCAUAUCACAACAAACUAAUAUAAGUUAAUCCUUUAGCUUCUUCAACUAUCAUCAUUGGAUUGAUUCUUCAAAUUAGACUUCCCGAUACCCAUCCAAGUCGAGGAAUAAAUAAUUCUUAGAAUAAUCAAUACAUGUAGGUCAUGUUUGAUACAUGAUAAUGAGGAAUGAGAAUGAUUUUUUUUUUUUUUUCAGAUCUAUUUUUUUAAAAUAUAAAUUAAUUUGAUAAUUCUAAUUCUUGUAUUUGGAUGUAUAUAAAAAUAUAAGAUUAAAAUGAUUAUUUAUUUCGGUUUUAAUAUUAAGUAACAAAACAACAAGAAUGAGAGUUAAAAAAAAAGGGAAAUAAAUUGAAAAUAAUAUUUAUACAUAUAGUUGAAUGAAAAUAAUAUUUUAUUUUCAUUCAAAAAAAAAAAAAACUCCCACAUUAUAUAUAGUUUAAAAUAAUUAAAAAAAAAACAUUUUUUUUGCUAAAUAAUAAACCUAUUUUAGCUUAUGAUUUAAAAACAUUUAAAAAAAAUUAAUACUAUUGUUUGGUUGUUGUUAUUAAGAAACAAUUUUUAAAAAAUAAUAAGUUUAAUCAUUUUUAAAAAUAGUAUUAACCAUUAUUAAUUUUAAAUUAUUAUUAUUAUUUAUUUUUAACAAAAUAAAUCAAUUAUGCUUUUAUAAGAUGUUAAUAUCCAUAUUUUUUUAUAAUAUUUAUUAAAAAUAUAUAAUUUAUGAUUUUAUUAUAAUAUUACUAUUAAUAUUUUAUUAAAAAUAUUUUUAAAUUUAUUUGUAAUUAAAAAAAUUAAUAAGACUUGAAUUAAAUUUAUUUUAUAUUAUAUAAAUUAAAUUUAUAAUUUGUUUAUUAAAAAAUCAAAAUAAUAAUGAUUUUUAUAAACAACUCAACCAAAAAAGUUUUUGGUUUUUUAAAUGUUUAAAAAGUGUUUUUAAAAAAUAACUUGUAUAAAGGAAUCAAAAUACCUUCAUUCUAAGAAUGAACUGAAAUCCACUUUUAAAUGAAAUUUUAUUUGUUUUGUUAUCAUUAGUAACUUCAUUCUUAUCAUCACUUAAAUUAUUCAAACAAAUAAAUGAAUGAGAAAAUGAAUAAGAUGAUCAUUCCUGACCUCAUUCCCACAUACCAAACAUAGUUGCAGUGAAAUUGUACUAAAAAAAUUCAUUACAUAAAAACUUGCUCUUAUACUAAAAUGUUGAUUACAAUAGACACGAUCAAAAUGGUAAUGAAGUACAAUUCAUCGACUAUUUCACUAACAAAAAUGUAUAUCAUCAUAUAUGAAAUUGGUGAACUUGCUAUUACACUAAAAUUCAUUUUUUUUAGGGAGAACUGUGUUUUGGGCCCAACUGAGCCCAAAAAUUAACAUUUGGUCCAUAUAUCAUGCAUAUUUAAGCACAAUACCCAAACAAAGUAUGAAAAUUAAGAUGAAGGAUAUUAUAUUUCAUUAAUCCUUAAAAUGCCCUUAACCCUUACAUAGGCACAAGUGACUGUGAAUUUCAAAUUUUUUGUGUUUUUUUUCCCUUUUCUAUUCCCUAUUAAGUAUUACUCAUUUCUAAUUUUUUUUUCUUUUUUUUCCAAUCUAUAUUUCUAUUUUAUGUCAAAUAAAAAAUAAUAAUAUUUUUUUGUUUUUCAUUUUUAAAGAUAUUGAAUCUUUUUGCUCUUAUUAUAAGCAAUGAUAAAAAUUUUGGGAUUUUUCAUCCAAAUAUUUUUUAUCUUUUUUUAUUUAUCUUUUAGUUUAAUUUUCAUUUUUUAUUUUAAAUUUAUAUUACCCUUUCAUUUAUAUUUUUCUCUUAUUUUUAAUUAUUUUUUAUAUUUUCUAAAUUAACCAUAUUUUAAAAAAAUUUAAAAUUAAUUAUCACUUCACUUUAUUAUAUAUAUCCUUUUAGCUUUUUAAUUUUUAAUAUUUUUAUUUUAAAAUUUUUAAAAAGAUAAAUUUAUUGAAAAAAAUAACUAAGAUAUGAAGUUCUAAGAUUAUAUUAAUAAUUUUUCUUAUCUAGAUAGACUAAUGCAAAGUAUUUUGACUCACAACAGGAAAAUUGUCAAUACAAUUUUUUAGUUAAACUUUAGAAAUUAAAUUUCAAAUAAAAUAUAUUAUAUAAAAUUUUAUCUAAAAAUUAUUGAAAGUAGUAUUUAAUUUUUUUAUUAACUUUCAAACUUAUCUAAUUUUUUACUUGAAAAGUAAUAGAACAUGUUUACAAAAAAAAAAAUUAGUUUUCAUUUUUUAAAUAAAUGAGUAUAAAUAUAUUAAAAGAAUUAAAGAUAAUCUUAGUAAAAAAUUUGAUAAAUAUGAUUAUAAUUUUAAAUAUAGAUUCAUUUGGAUAAAAUUUUACAAAAAAAAAAGUAGUGGAAAGAAAGAACAUUGCUAAAACUACAAAAACAAAAUAUGCAAUUACAAAAUUUUGAUGAUGAAAUUUAAAAAUAAAAUUCGAAACAAUUCUUGAGUGAGAGAAUUUGAGUGGGGGAAAAAUCUUUGAGUGGAAAAAAAUGGGAAAGUUUUUCAAAAUCACUUAAAAUCCUUAACAAAAAGUAGUCUUGUACACCCUUGUAUAAUUAGUAAAUUUGUCUUGUACAGUUAGUGUGAUACCUUUGUACAAUAACUCAAAUUUCAUACAUCAUCUCAUAAAUAUCUGACAAUAGAUCGGUUAACCAUGUUUGCAUUGGUUUGAUUUUAAAAAAGAAGAAAAAUUGUUGUAUAAUUUUGUUUUACAAUCAUCAUAGGUGAGAUACCUAUUCAAAUGACCAUAUACAAGUUAGAUAAAGUGCAUGAGAUGAAUGUAUGCUUAACCAAUAUGUGUAAAGAAUGUCAUUUAUCAUCAGUUAGGGGAAAUAAACAAAUAAAUUUUUUAGAAUCACUUAAAAUCUUUCACAAAUAGUAGUCUUGUACACCCUUGUACAAUUAGUAUAUUUGUCAUGUACACUUAGUGUAAAUACAUUGUACAAUGACUCAAAUUCCAUAUACCCCCUACUCAAUGUGUAACCAUAGGUAGGUUAACCAUGUUUUCAUUGGUUUGUUUCAAAAAAUAGUGGAAGAUGGAAAAACAAAAUUUUCUCUCAAACAUCAUUAGUGGGAUAAGUAUUUGAAUUAUUAUGUGCAAGUUAAAUAAAGUGCAUAAGAUGAGUAUGUAAUAGAGGAAUGUGUACCUUAAGAGUGUGCAAUCCUUAUAUGACAAGACAAAAAAAGAAAAGUUGUCCAAAAUUGAUUAAAAUCCUUCACAAAUGAUAGCCUUGUAUACCCCUUGUAUAGUGAGAACAUUUGUUUUGUACAGUUAAAACAUUUGUCUUGUCCAAUUAAACAUUUACCUUGUACAGUUAGUAUAACACCCUUGUACAAUGGUGCAAAUUUCAUCCAUAUGCAUACAUUAUGUGCCACAUAUGAUGUGUGAACCAUGUUUCCAAUGGUUUGAUUUAAAAAAUGAUAUAAAACGUAAAAACAAAAUUUUUCUCUAAACAUCAGUAUUAAGGUAAGUAUUUAAAUUGUUAUAUGCAAGUUAAAUAAAGUACAUGAAAUAAAAGAAUUUGUGGUAGGAGAACGUAUAAUCCUUAGAUGACAAGAAAAAAAAAAUUGUUCAAAAUGUACAGUUUUAUACACCCCUUGUGCAAUUAGUGUAAUAAUCUUGUAUAAUGGUAUAAAUUUCAUAUAUAUGUAUAAAUUAUAUUUACAUAAGUGUGUAAACUAUGUUCCCAAUAGUUUGACAUUUAAAAUAAUUAAAACAAACAAAACAUUAUUUUAUUUUAUUUUCAAUGCAAAAUCUAAUUAAAAAUAAGACAAAGAAAUUACUUAAAAACUAUUAUUUAAGCCAAGUUUAUUUAUUUAUUUCCUUUUAUUUUUGGAAAUAAAGAAAAAAGAAUAAAAAAUUUAUUUAACUAUAAGAAAUAUAAAUAUAAGAUCAGUUAGAAAAUACCAAAUUUAUUUAUUUAUUUAUUUAUUUAUUUAUUUUAUUUUUGGAAUUAAAUAAAAAAAAUAAAAAAAUUUAUUUAACCAUAAAAAAUAUUGAUAUAAGAUAUGUUAAAUAAUAGAAAUAACCUCAAAUUUAUUUACUUAUUUCAUUUUAUUUAUUUAAAUUAGAAACUAAUUUAUUUUAAUAGAUUAAAAUAUGCACAAUUGAUUUAUUACUUUGUUAAUUAUGGAUAUAUUAAAAUUUUCUAUUAGACAAAAAAUAAAUAAAGAAAAUAAAAUUAAAAAGAGUAAUAAAUAUAUAUAAUUUAGUUAUUUAAUUGUUUUUCAUGUAAAAGAUAGUCCCACAAAAAACACAUAAUUGAUCAAUUUCUUUGUUUAAUUGUAAACAUACUAUAUUUUUUUUAUUUUAUUAUUAAAAUAACUAAUGGAAAAAAAUAAAAAUAGAUAAUAAAUGAAAUUUAAUUCUUUUUAUUAUUUUCAUAUAAAAAAUAGUAGUAAACAAAGCUUUCAAUUUUUAUUUUUAAAAAUAGUUUUCAUUUUUUAAUUAAAUGUUUUUUCAAAAAGAAAAUAUAAAAAAUAUAAAUCAUAUUACCAUUUUUUUAGAAAGUAUUUUUUAAAAUAGUUUUUGAACAUAAUUUUUCUUUAUUUAUAAUUUAAAAUAGAAAAUAAUGUUGAUUUUUAAUUAUUUAUAAAUUAAAAAAUUAAAAAAAAAUGAAAAAUCCAAAUUGUUAAAAUAUAAUUAUUAUGGUUGUAUGAAUAGUGGUGCAAUAAAGAUAAAAAAAACUUAUGUGAAAGGUCAUCGGGUAAUUUAGUCCAUCACUAUUUUAUAUCCUUAAAAAGGUAAUAUAUAAAAAUUUGAAAGAUAUAUUGGUCUUUUAACAUCUUAUAUCAUUUCCAUCAAUUAUGGAAGUUAUAUGGACCAAAACAGAAUUCUCUCUUUUUUUUAUAAUACAUUUCCAAAUAUGAAGAUUGAAAGUCGCCUUAUAAGUUAGGGGAAAAAUAAUUUUACCAUAUCAAAAAAUAUACAUGUAUGAAUAUUUUCCAGCUAGGAAAUAUUUGUGAAUUAAGCUUGUUUCCUUAUAAUUUAGAUGAUUGAUUAUUUUUUGCAAGUAGAGAUAUUCUAUGCUACAAAUUAACUACUUCCUUUUUUCUAUUUCUAAGUAACUCUCCUACAAUUUGUAUAUAUUUAGUUUAAUUCUAUUGAAAAAAAAAACAAUAAUGGAGAAAUUCUCCAAACCCCAAAUAGUCAACAUGGUAUCAAAAAAAGAAAACUAACACAAUUGAGAUUCAUCUUCCCACCAAAGAGCCUUCAUUGCUCAAUUAUAGCUAGACAUUCAUUAUUUAGUUGUUAGCUUGCUCAAUUUUCAUUACUGAGUAUAAAUUUUGUUAAUCCCAAAUCAAACUUAAUUAUUGGUAACUCAACUUUCUUUCAUAAUCUUUUCAAACAUGUCUAAAAUCAAUGAUAAUAUAUCGAUAACCCAUAAUACAACUCCUUGAGACUAUCAGAAUGUCUCUACUUCCUUCAAACUUAAUGGUGGAAAUUAUCCAUAAUGACUCAAUGAAAACAUAUAUUAAAAGAGAGAGAAAGCCAAGUCAUCUUCUUGGUUCUUUGAUCGAUGAGGAUGAUCUGAAAUUUAUCUCAAUUCUUAGGUUAUGUCUUGGUUUAUUGAACUCUAUGCAACCAAAAAGAAAUCGUACUUGUGUUUCCUCAAACCUACUCUAAGGUGUGGUAUGUUACUUAGAUGUAUGGAUUUAAAGACAAAAAUCCAUAAUGCCAAAAAAGGUACCUUAUCUAUAACAAAGUAUUGCAAUUUUAUAAAAGGAUCACGAUUUGAGUUGGAUCAUAGUCAAAGUUUUAAGGUGGAACGUAGUAAGAAUGUAAUAAUAUACCAACAGUUUUAUAACAUAGUAUGUCUAUUAGUUAUCUCCAAUAUCUCAUUGUUUUCAGAGAAAAUUUUCAAAACUACUUUAUCUUUUGACAUAGGGAAAGAUUAUUAGUUUGUAAAUAAAAAUCACGAAAAAUGAUUUUCUCUUGUCAUAAUAAUUGUAUUUGUAUGGUAAGUAAGAGUAACAAAUUAUGAAAUUCUCAUUGUCACUAACCCUGAAUCAAUUAAUCAUGUUUAAACUCUAGAGAAGAAAUUGCAAUCAACCUCCAAAGUAUCUUAAAAAGGAUAUAUUGCUUUAUCUUGAAUCACUGAAAACCAAAUCUCCAUAAAACUAUAUCACUAACCGAUUGGAUUACAAUAGCUAUUCCUUCUAGCCUUUGUGAAUAUGUAUGAUAAAUUCUAAGACUAUGUUUGAUUUUAAAAAAUUUGAAGGAACACACAAUGGAAAGAAAAUAUAGAGGAAAAAUAGACAAAAAGAAAAUGUGAAACAAAAUAAAAAAUAGAUUUAAAGUCAAUAAAUCAUUUCACUUAUUUUAAGCCUUUGAUAUAAAGAUUUAAUAAUUUAAAAAUACACAUAUUUUUAAUUAAUUUUAAUUAAAUUUAUUUUCUUUGAUAUUUUUUCAUAUUGCAGUCAAAUAUGAAAAAAAUAUUUUAAUUAUUCUUUUUCUUUUCUUAGUUUAAAAUAUUGGAAAUUUGCCAAGGGGGACUUAUUGGAAAAAAAAAUUCAAAGCCAUAACAUUUUCAGUUUGAGCACUGGAAACAAAACUAGAGAUUGAAAAUUAGCCAACUACAAAUGACACUUCGAAACAAAAUUUAAUUGAAUUUUUUUUUUUUUUUUGGAAUUCACUUUAUUCAAUUACAUGAAACUUACUAGAUUUGAUUUAUUAGGUAUUGUGGCCGAUGAAAGCGGAUAAGAGAACCUAAGUAACAUUAAGAGUCUGUUUGAUAAUGAUUCUAGAAAGCGUUUUUAGUUUAAAAAGUAUUUUAUUUAAAAAAAAAUGAAGCGUUUAGACAAAUUUAGGAAAUAUUUUUAAAAUAUAUAAAAAACCAUUUACAAUAUUGGAAAAUCAUUUGUAGUGGUUUUUGGAUAAAAUACUUUAUAGGUGAUUCUCCUUAAAACACUUUUAGAAAAAAAAAUUUAUUAAAAAUACUUUAAAUAGAAACACUACCAAACAUACUCUAAGAAUAGUGGAUUAUUGUCACAAAGUAAGACAAGAUUAUGUGGUGGUUGAUGGAAGAAUUAUGCCAAAGGCCACUAUAUAAACUAACAAAUGGCUAUUAUCUCUAGGAUCAUGCAUCUAUUAUUAAGAGAUUUUGUACUUAAAUCAAAAGGGGGCUACUUAAUUUUUUUUUUCAUUCAUAUAUAAAUUUUUUAUUAUUUGACUAUUUAUAAUAAAAUUUGGUGGAACCAUUAACCAUCUCUAAAACAUUAGAAAGUUUUCUUAGGAAGAAAAAUAGUUUUCUUUGUUAAAUUAAAAUUAGAAUAAUAUAUGGAAUAAAUAGAUGUUGCUGCCUUAAAAAAUUAUUAUUAUUUUUAUUCUUAUUUUAUAUAAUUAAAUUAAGAUACUUAUAAACUAAUAAUUUGAAAAAGAGAUCUCAUGGUACUAAAUCUCAUAUAAAACUUGUUUUUUAUGUUAGAAUUAUCGUGAAGCUUGCUUGAGGCCAUAAAGGGGGUUUUUUAAGUUUGCAAACCAUAUUUUUAGUUUUUGAUUUCCUAAAACCUAGUGGAAGUUGCAUAUAUACCUCUUCAUCUAAGUCUCCAUAAAAAAUUGUUGAUAUCAAGUUGGCGAGCAUGCCAAUUUUGAUUUGCAACAAUAGCAAGUAAGCAACACAUGGUUGUGAGGUUAGUUACUAAUGCAAAAGUCUCUUGGUAAUCAAUUCCUUCUUGUUGAUUAUAGCCCUUAGCUAUUAAGCGAGCCUUGUAAUGUUCAAUACUACCAUCUAGAUUAUGCUUAACUUUUAAACCCACUUGUAUCCUAUUGACUUUUUAUUUUGAAGCAUAGGUGUAAGAGUUCAUGUUCGAUUCUCCUUCAAUGCUUUAAUUUUUUCUAUCAUUCUUGUCUCUAGUUUGCAUCAAGCAUUCUCUAUUGAAAAUCUUUUGGUUUUGAAAUAUGGAAGAUUGAUACUAGAAAAGAAUGAUGAGAUAGAGAAAAAAAUUUAAUAAGACAAAUAUUUAUUCAAAUGAUGAAAGGUAAUUACAAGACAUGAAGAAGACAACCUUUGAGAGGGUGGAUCAUAGGUGGCCAUCCUACAAUAAUAAGCAGUAAGAUAAGAUGGAGGAGGACAAGACUCACAGGUUUGAUUAAUAAAUUUUCUAUUUUGAGGAUGAUGUUCUUGAAAAACAAGUGUCUAUAGGGGGUGAUAUCGAAAAGAGUGGAUCAAUGGCUUCAUUAUUUUCAUGUUUAUUACCUUCACAAGUAGUAUCAACCUUUAUGUCAAUGAGUUGAUCUUGUUCAACAAUGGGAUAUGGUUGGACAUGUUGAUUAGAAGAUAAGUGCAUAGGUUUUCCAAAGGGAAAAUGGUCUCAUGAAAUUAGACUUCUCUAGAAACAAAAAAAAAAAAAAUUAGUAUUGAGAACAUAAAACUUGUAUCCCUUUUGAGCAUUUGGGUAGCCAAAAAAAAUACAAUGCAUGUGAUGCCUAGUGUUGAAUUUUGUUUUUGAUGUACUUAUGUUGGUAGCAUAACACAAGCAAUAAAAAAAAUUUAGAUGUGAAUAGGAGGGAAUGAAUCUAAAAAAACAAUUCAUAAGGUAUUUUGCUUGAAAGUACAAAGUUUGAUUUAUGAGAUAGGUUGCACUCAACACACUCACCCCAAAAAAAAAUUAGAAGACUUUCUUGAAAAUAUAAGGCUCGAGAAAUAGUAAGUGUCCAUGUUUGCUUUUUACAACUAUAUUCUACUGUGAAGUGUCAACACAACUUAUUUGGUGAAUAAUAUCCUUGGUUUAAUAAAAUUCUUACAUGUCAAAAUCCAACUAAUUUUCAAAACGAAUAAUUUUAAUUAUUUUGUUGAAUUGAGUUUCAAGAUAAAAAUAAAAGGAUUGCAGUAGGGAUCGAGUCCAGUUUUACACUACAUAAAAACCCAAUUACAUUUCUUAAAAUCAUCCACAAUUGUAAGAAAAUAAUGGGAGCCAGAUAAAGAAGUAGAAUGAUAUUUUCCCCUUAUAUUAUAAUGAAUUAAAUCAAAAGGUUCAACAAAAAUUUUAUUUGCUCAAAUGAAAAAGGGAGAUGAUUUUGCUUAGUAGGUGGACAAAUUUCACCUACUAAGACAAUUAUGACUAGGAUAUCCUAAUCAUAGGUGUCAUACAUUCGAAAAUGAAGAAGGCAUAGCUUGCAAACACUUUGGUGUUGGAAACUUGAAGAUGAAGAGGUCAUCAUGUAAUUUAUUUGCUCCAAUGUCUUAUUCAAGAAUCAGAUUAACAUUAAAAUUAAUUAAAAAAAUUGCAUCUUAGACCAAAUUAAAUUGAAAUUUAGUUACAAAAAGGAUAUUAUCCAAGACAAUGCUUAGUGUUAACUUGACACUACUAAUAUAAGUAAUAGGGGCUUUUGUUCCAUUUUUAGUAAUUUGACAAUUUCUAAACAAGAGGAUGAGAGGUGGGAAAGAAAAGAAGAGGAUAGCAUACGAUCAUUAGCUCUAGAAUCAAUGAUCCAAGAAGUUGAAUGAGAAGAAAAGUUUGCUUUAUGUGUAAUGCCUAUCAAGUUUCUUUAUAAAGGGAGAUUGCUUAUAAGAUUUGAUCUUGGUUGAGCAUUGAUCUAGGCCAUAAUUCGCUAAUUAAGCAUAAAAGGAAAAAUUUGUGGGGCGAUGAAACAAUAGAAACUUAAUUGGAAAAUGCUUAAGAAGAAAAGAAUUGAUUUGGUCCUUCUAUAGGUUGUGGUUUGGAAGAUAUCCAUGUAGUUUGUAACAUUUUUCUUUAGGCCCAUCCUUUGUAGAUGAAUUUUGAGUUGUUAGGACUCAACUUUGAAAAUUUACUUGUGGGAUUAUUAUUUUUACAACUAAUGCAAUAGAAUCUUGUAAAGAUUGUGAACUUGCAAUCCCACGUCAUCUUCCUUCUUUCAACAGUAGAGAAAAAAACCUUACCCACUAUUGGAAUUGGAUUUAUUAAUAAGAUAUGACCAUGUACAACUAUAUAAGUCUCAUUCAAACACAGUAGAAGUUGCAUGGUGCAGUUUCCCUCCUUGUAUGCCUCCAAGAUUUUAUUUGAUUCACAUGAGUAGGAUUGAAUUGGGGAGUAAAAGGUUUAAUUAUGUUGGAAACAAGAUCACAAUGAUGUGAAAUCCUGGGCUAUUAUAUCUAUCAAUAAUGGAAGUAAGAAAACUUAGAUCGUCCAAUCAAUGCAAGGAUCUAAAAAAAAACCUCAGGAUCUUCCACUAGAUGGCUUGGUCUUUAAUUCUUAAUGCGUACAUAGAGUGACUACACACCUUCAGAAGAGCGGGGGAUAGGGGGGAGGCUAGGGUUUUUGGAAGACUACUAGUUUGAAAGUUAGAGUUUACCUAAAAGCCAAGGGGUUUAUAUAGACUCUUUUUUGAGCUUAAGUGAGUUUGGCCCAACUUAGACUUAAGUUACUUAAUCCAGUUCACUGGAUCCCAAUUAAUUAAUUAAUCCUAAUAUAUUCCAAUUAAUUAAUUAGUUUAAUCCAAAAAAACUCAAAAUAAUUAAUCAUAAAUUCUUGUACAACCUUGCGUUUUUACAAAAACAUCAUUUUACAUAUAAAUGAUUAACUUUUCAUAAAACCUCACGACUUUGUACCAAUAGGAUCGAUAGCGCGAUACUAACUCUUUUAGAAUCUAAUUCUAAAGUUGACUCAAUAUUUUCUUAAAAAUAGUUCAUUCCACUUUGGUAUCCUAUGAUGUUAUAUUGAAACAAUUUAAUCAACUUUUUGGGUUUGUAACUUACUAUCCAAUACAUGAAAGCUUUUCAUAAAUUAGUGUUCAUAAUCUAACAAUGUGAAAACUAUCAACUUCUCAAUAUUACCUUUAUCAUCCUUAAGUUUUAGAUCCUCCUAUUAUGUGAUUACUCGACAUGUUUUACCUCACAAAAAACAUAUAUCAACUUCCAUUAAUGGAAUUACCAUAACCAUAUAUUUCAUCAUCACAAGUCUUCAAUAUCAUCGAAAAUGAUACACUAUCUCAAAUCCAUGAGAUAUCAUGGUGCCUAUCUUGACAAUACUUGUUGUUACAUACCUUAAUUAAUACUGAUUUAAUCCAUAUAAUAUAUAACCACCUUAAUAUCUCAAUCGUAAGUCAAAGUCACUAAAGACCUUAACACUAUCUCAUUAUUUUCUCAAGAUUGAGAAUUCAAUAACAUAGUAGUUUGACAAAAUCAUAACUAUUUAAUAUCAUGAUUUUUUAUAGAUCCUAUCCGAUAGGUAACUAUAUGCACUAAUGUGUUUACCAUAAAAAAAUCUAUUUCGAUAGAAGACUGAAGUUGGAUGUCAAGAUAUAUCAAACAAUAGGAGAGUUUCUCUGUGAUAUUUUGAAAAUAAAUAAGAUCUUUGAAUAAAGAUGCAAAAUCACAAACAAGUCACAUCAUAAGAUUUGUAUUUUAAUUUCUUGAAUUUUUUUCAAACCAUUAAUGAACCAAAAUUGGAAGGAUGUUUCCAUCAUUUACUUGAAAGUACCUUCCACAAAUAGUAUAUUAAAUCUUCAAAUAUAAAUUUAUUAUUUAUAGGUGAUGAUGUUGAGUUAAAAGAACCACUAUACUAUUUUUUUUUUUUUUGUGAAUUAAAAAAAAAUACUAUGACAAACACUUUGAGGAGAUGUUUUUGCACAAAACAAAUUUAAUAUGGAAUGUACAAUAUUGUUAUAUAACAUAUGACAAACACUUCAUUUGAUUUUUCUCUUUUGUAUUAGUCAUUUUUAAUAAAGAUGGAUAUAAAUUUCUUACCAUGUACAUAAUGGUUUUUUAAUUAACUCCGAUAUCUCAUUUGUUGUCUUCCUUAUAUUUAACAUUAUUUUGUUGUAAAAAACUCAUGCAACAUAAACCCUUAUGUCCAACUUCUCAUGAAAAUUGUAUUUUUAAUGAAAUAUUUUGGUGUGGUUAACAUGAUAGUACCCCAAGCUACCUAUAAUCUCUAGUUAAAUACCAUUGAAAAUGUCAUUAAUGGAUCACAAAUAUCCCAUUUACAUUUCUUACCCUCGAAAUGAAAACAAUGUGAAGAAGUUGUUUACAAUCAAUAUACCCUAUAAAUUAUAUUCAAUUGCACAUCAUCCUCAAAUUCAAAGUAACUAUUUCUAAUUUUUGACGAGCUCGAUGAAGCUAGAGUAAAGUAUAAAACAAUUGAAACUAAAUGCAUACAUUAAUCAUUCCAUUCUUGAUACUUUUUAGAGUCACUAGUCGGAGGCAUCCUUGCGUCAAUGUAACCGAAGGUAUAAUUAUAUCCUAUAUUUAGAGCAUGUUUGGUAGUAAUUCUAGGAAACGCUUUUAAUAUUUUUAAUACUUGAAAAUCUUCAUCAUUCAAGUAUUAUAAAUAUUAGACACAUUUUCUAGAAUUACUCUCAAACGCACUCUUAGUCAACUCCAAUAUCUCAUGGUGUUAAGAAAUCAAGCUUCUUGUGAGUAUGAAAAUUGAAUCAAGGGCUAUGAGUACGGAUACAGACCUCCAUAACUAGGCUUAGAAAUGGACCUGCGGCUAAAGAAGAUGCCUUCAAUGGCCUAAUUGAACCAAUUAUACUCAAAAUUGGCACAUGCCUUCAACGACAAUAAUUAAAACAAAUAUUAAGAGAGAAAGACAAAGGGUUUUGAAUCAAAUACAUGCUUCACCAAAUGAAAAUGGCUUAAAGCAAUAAUUAAUACAAAGAUCUAACAAACCAUUUUCUUUCAUUUCUUCUCUCUACACACCCCUCUUUCACUCUUCAGUUUAACUUUGUCCUUUCGCUCACAGGGACAGCCCAGACUCGUCAUCCUCCUCGAGGGUGGCAGUGUAGGUAAAGUAGAGAGCCCAGAUCAAACCAAACACACCGAAAAGUAUCCACCCAAGAAGGUUAUUGCUCAACCCAAAGGGCAGCCCUGUCCCCUCCGUGCUCAGUCUCUCAUCCACCAGUGCCAUUGCUGGCCCUGCCGACGCUGCCACCGCAGCAGCAGCUGCCAUCAACGACGCCCCCAUGCUGAUGCUUGACCCCAUGUCGCUUCCACAGGGCUUCUCCUCAGACAUGCACCGCACUCGUCCCUUCUUCGCCAUGGCUGGCAGGCCUACAACCCAGAAAAGAAAAUGUCCAUGUAAGAUGGAUGGAUCAAGCGAAACAAGAAGAGAAUUUCAUUCAAAAACCUUACCAAGGACGGGUGAUGAAAUCCCAUUCAAUCCUUUACUCGCUACACUGGCACGCACAAGCGAUGUAGCUGGGUUGCUGGCUGUAAUGGUGGCCAUUUUUCUGCAGUCUGAGAAAUAUGGAUCAAGUAUGCAAGAGUAGGAGUUAGGAGAAGAUUUAUCACAUCAAAUGGGUGGGGGAAUUGGAGAAUUAAUAUCAUCGGCAUACAGUUUGGUGCACCACAGAAUGUGGAUAGAUAGAUGGACAGACAUUUCAUAUCCUAAAUCUUCAGGUGACCAAUCGGUGCCCGCCAUGUGUGUCUUUACAUAGCUUGUGGGUUACCAAAACAUAUGUUCUGUUUGGACACAAGAGACCUGGUUUCAACAAAUAUGGCCUGCCUUGGGCCACUCUAGUAAUAAUUAACAAAUGGCCUUAGGGAAGCCCAAAGGAAUGAGCCCUCUCUCUCUCUCCCCUCUCAAGCCCUAUGGCCCAUGUCAAUGAGGAAAUAGUUUAUAUGUGUCAGUAGAUGGGCUAACUAGACCAAUAUUUUUAUUAUUUACUGUAGGAUACUAUAUAAAAUAGUAGUAAUUUUAAUAUAAAAUUUAAGGCUUACAUUGAAAAUUUAAUGAUUUAUAUUAGAAAAUUGAGGUAUCAAAAAUCUUUAAUUGUCUUAAAUUUAAAAUUUUAAAAAUAAUUUUUAAAGACAUAAGAUAAAUAUAUAUUUAAAGAAAAUUCACUUUUAUAAUAAAUUUCUAUUUUAAAAAAAUACAUAAAAUAUAUUCAAACUAGGAGAAUGUUUAGUAAACCAACUUAAUAACUUAAUUUAAGUUAUUAAACAAAUUAAGUAUAUUUGGUAAAAUAACUUAAUGACAUGCCUCAAAGUCAAAAACAACUUUAAUUAAUAAGUAAAAAUAAUUAACUUAUUCUUAAAUUCACAUCUUCAUUUUCUUUUUUUACUACAAUUUGCAUUAAGUACAUCCACGAUCUCUUUCACUACUACACGACUUUCAUUAUUACUUGACCUCCUUUAUUCUAGUUAUAAUUUAUAAUAAUAAAUAUGUUAAUUUGAUGAUUUAGAAUAAAUUUUAAAUUAAUUUUAUCAAAAAACCUUAAUACUUAAAAUAAAAAUUAAAUAACAAGUUUUAAGUUAAUAACUUAACUAUGAUUUAACUUAAAAUCAACUUAAGUCAUUAUGUAAUAAGUAUUAAAUUUUAUCAAACACCCCAUAAAACUUAAUUAUCUUGGUUUGUUUUGAUUCCAUUGUGUGAUAUUUAGUUCAAAUUAGUCAAUUAUGGUCACAUGGUAGUUAAGGAAAGUACAAAGGAAACUUAAAAAACAAAUUCAAAGCUCCUAGAUGCCUAAAGUACGUAGUAUAAGAAAAUCAGCAAAAUCACUCAAAAUAAUAGGUUUGCAAUGUCAAAGAAUUCAGUAGAAAAGGUGGGAACUGAACUACAUUUAUAGUGCAAGAAGGAGCCCACAUAGCUGACCAAGGAGUUAGGACUUCUAACAGAUAGUGAAGAAAAGCUAAGCAUGGAAAUGGUACAUAAUUAAAAGUAAGGUCAGUACUAAUUGACAUAUUUGGGUUUUUGAAUAACAGCACCAUGCCAGGCUGAGUGGCUACCUUGCCAACCCAACUCCAAGGGCAUGCCAUCUUUUUCCAAAGCUGGCAUCCAGGCGGAAGAGCAACAUUCACACCUUCUACAGCCCACUUUUAUUACUCUGAAGCCCCACUCCCAGAAAGACCGAAAGCAAAUAUGAGAAACCCCAUGAUGCAUGCUAGAGAAAGGUCAAUGCAUCUGGCUAAUAUUACAACAAUCAUCAUGUGAAUGCAUCUGUCUGUAGGGGAAUUUAAACCGACGGCUUCAACUUCUUGUAUAUGCUAAAAUUUUGCUUCACACUCAUGAAUGACCAUCUAUGAUUAUCUCAUAUCCGAUUGAGAAGCAAAUGGGUUGCUUUGAAUGGUAUUGGAGCUGAUGUAGAUACGUUUUAAAGUUGUGAUGACUCAUUAGACCUAAAGCAAACAAUAUCUAAAUAGAAAAGAGUGAGUUAUCUAAAUGAUAUUAGAUAUGAUCCUUAAUUCCGAUGUGGGAGUGUGUUUAAUCCAUUAAGGGAUGUUUGCCUUUUUGAUCCUUUAAUCUCACGGGAUACAACAAGAAUGUAAUAUCAUAAAGGGGUGAUUGUAAUUUCUCAUAUUAAAUUAAAGAUAUAUACACUCCUUUUAAUCAUAUAAACGUAUUUUAAAAACGUAAAAACUGAUUAAAUUCAAAAUAAAUAAUAUCUACAUAAAAGGGAAUAGAUCGUUACAUCAUCCCUCUUACAUAUGUAUAUAUAACUUGUCAAGUUGAACUUAUUUGGAUAAAAGGGAAUUAUCCCAUAUAUAUUAAGUCGGUCUUUUAAUGAACCAAACACAACAAUCCAAAUCUAACUUGGUUAGUCCAAGGAAUCAGUUAGUGAUGGGGUCAUGAUCUUGUUAGUUAGCUUGUUCAAGUCAUAAAAUAGAACAAAACGAAGCCCACAAUGCUUCAAGCUCCACCUACUUAAUAUGGAUUGAUUGAGCUCAUCAUCAACUGUUGAGUUAGGCAUCACAAGGUUGUUGAUUAUAGACCCUAUCCAAUUCUAUAACUUAGCAAAAAGAAAACUCCAAUUACAGAGGUUUUUGAAGAUACGUGCUGUAUUUGCCAAUAUCCAUUGAUAAAGAUGGGAGCCAUGGAUUUAUUUGUACACAAAUCAAAAUGAGGCUAAUGAAAGGGACCACUUAGUUAUUGAGCUCCGCCCACAACCAACUUUGAGAAGGUUGCAUACUCAAAUCCAUCACUAAGCCCAACCUCUAUGCUACUAUUCGGCUUUGCGAGGUUGGUUAGAACUUAGAACUCAUAGUAAGAAUAAGAAUAGGAAUAUCUAAGUAUGUUUGGGAACAUUAUUACAUACCAGGGGAAGCUUAAUCAAGUUAUGUUUCCUUAACCUUAACUUGUCUCAAUCUAUUUUUACUUCAAGUUAUGAAUUUCUGUUCCAACUCUUAGCGGGUGUUUGUUUUUUUUUAUUUUUUGUUAAAAAUAAUUUGUUUUUAGAUUUUAGAUUGUUUGUUUUUCUACUUUUUUUUAUGAUUUAUUAUAAACAUUUUGUUAAACAGAAAAAAUUGAAAUAUUUGGCUUUUUAUAAAUGGAAAAAGCAAUAUAUUGAAUUUUAUUUACUUUUUAAUGCUUAAUGAAAAUAAAAUAUUAUAAAACAAAUAACUUAAUAUUUAAUACUAUUAAGCAUUAAAGUUCUAUUUAGAGUUAAGUAAAAAAACAAACAUCAUCUUAGCUCACACUCUGUGAUAAGACUAAUAACCAUAGUUAAAAGCGUUUCCUAUUACUUAAAAUAAUAUUUUUAAAAAUCGGUCGAAGCGUUCUUGAACUCAUAUUUAAUAGAUGUUUCUUUUUAAAAAUCGUCAUAUAGCCUUUAAUUUCAAAUAAAAAAUUCUAUAAUAAAAAAUUCAUUUGUGAUUCUCAAAAUUAUAGUUAAAGUUUACUUUUCCAAAAAAAACCAUUUAUGACAAAAAUGUUAUUCAUAAAAAGUAUUAUAACUAGAAGUGAUUUUAUCAUAUUAGACAAAGCUUGUUGAAAUAAUAUCAAUUAUUGUGGGGAUGACUUAUUAUUACCAAGAAUUUGUCCAAAUAAUCAUUUUUGGUAUUAUUAAAUUUAAAAUAAAAUGAUGACGCAUCAUUCAAAUGUUGCAAAAAUGGAGUUAUGCUACAAUAUCCCUUAUUUUAGUUUUUCAAAUAGGCUUUUUAUAGGAUAACAUAUCAAGCAUGACUAAUUUUUUUUUUUUUUACUUUUGUUGGUAUGUAUCUUUUUUUAAAAAUAUAAUAUAAAAAUAAAAUAAAAUAAAAUAAAAUAAAAAGGGGAAAAAAAGAGGGGGGAAUUUGGGUGGGGGUGGGGGGUGGGGUUAUACAUGUCGUCUACUUGCCCGUCUACCCACCAGCGUACUUGAGUGUAUCGGACAGGAAGGGAAGUGAGAAGCGUUUUUCACAUUACACGCGUACGAGAGACUCUGCUUUGUGUGUUUUUUGGCCGUGCCUUCCUUCAUGGACUUUCGUUGAAACUGUCUCUUGUAUAAAAGCCUCACCCUCAAGCCUCAAGCCUAUCGCCUCACGCCUCACGCCUCAUCAGCUCAUCACCCACUUCAGUCCGUUCUAUUCUGUUUUUCUCGAAUUCCUACAAUCCCCACUCACUUUUCUACCAAAUUACCCUAACCCAUCUCCAAAUUUCACCUCUGAAUCUAUUAUUUUUCUUCCAAUCAACCCCAAGAUCCUGUCUCUCUCCCCACGUCCCCAUAAUGCCACAACCUCUCUAAAAUUUCCUCGUUGUUUCUUGCUGCUUUUCUUGGUGAUUCUCUGCGUUGAAUCAGUGCACGAGAGAUGACGAGUCAGGUGGUGAAGGUACGGCGGGAGACAAUAGCAGCAUGCAUGACAUGCCCUCUUUGUAAUAAGCUUUUGAAGGAAGCUACGACAAUAUCUCUAUGUCUUCAUACGUGUAAGUCUUACUGUUAUGUUUCUCUUUUUUGGCUGAUUCUGAUCUGGGCUCUUGUUAUUUUGCAUUUUAGCAGCUGGGUUUCCUUUACUUUGUGCUUCUAUGAUACCGAUUUUCAUGUAUUUUCUUUAUGUAAUUUCACAAUUCAUACGUGUAAGCUUCACUAUUGUCUCUCUCUUUUGGCCGAUUCUGAUCUGGCCUUUUGUUCUCUUGCAUUUUAUUAACUGGGCUUCUUUUACUUUGUGUUUCCGUGGUAUGGAUUUAAUGUCUUUUAUGCAAUUUCAGAAUUCAUACGUGUUCGUUUCUCAAUCUCCCUUUUCUUUAUUAUGUUGUUUUUGAUCUGGGUUUGUUCUUAGCUUCCAUUAUAUGAACUGGGUUCCUUCUGCUUUGUGUUUUCAUGAUCUGGGUUCUCAUGUACUAUUCCAUAUCAGAAUCUUGGUUUUAUGAACUGGGUUUAGAUUUGUGAAUUACAUAGAAGAAAAGAGAGAAAUGCUGUGUGUUUAUGAUGUUGAUGUGAUUAUCCUUUCUUUCUUUUUAUUUGUUAAUUUAGGAAAUAAGGAACAAUAAAAGCUGUAUUUUUUAGGCCUUAGGGGGUCCAAUUAAUGUACCUGGGUUUCUCUCUGAGAAAAUAUUUAAUCAGUCAUUAUGGACGUGAAAAUACGGAUCUGAAAACUCAAAUUGAAAUGAUAAUCAAAUAUCAUCUGUUGAAGCACUGGUUGUCUGAACUUCUUAAGGUCAAAAACUGGUGACACUAGUAUAGCUCUCUGAACUCUUAAUUGCCUCUUCAGGAAAGCUCUUUCCUUUCCAUUGGUUAACAUUGCUAGUGACCAUGUGGUAUAAAUUGUCCUUCUCUUAUUCAAAUUUAUGUCAUCUUUUUUCUUCUUUCAAUUGAUAAACCCUUCCUCUCCAAAGCUUUUAAUUCAUAUGUUUUGGAAAGGAAUCGAAGCUUUCUUUAUGGCCUUGAAGAAUCUGAAGUUCUGCAAAAUUCUAGUUUAAUUUGAUUAUUUCUGGACUUUACUGAAAAUUGUGUAGGUUUAUAUCAUCUAGUUAGUUCAGUUCAGUACUUCCUAUGGUUCAUUCUUCCAUAAUAAGGUUCCUGUUCAAUUUUUUGAUCAUUUUUUUUUCAAUGUGUGUUAAUUUUAGUUCUUCUCUCUCUUGUUCCUGUCACCAUUGAGAAAUCUGAGUUAUGCCAUAACCAUGACAACCCUGAGUUGAUUUUAAUAUUGCCUUAUUUUUCAUUCUGUAUGAUUUUGGUUUAAUUCAUUUGAUUCUGUGAUUUUUGUAAUUCAAUCUCAUACUGAUCUUGAUGUGCUUUUUUCCUUCUGAUCCUUUUGAUGAUGUGCAUGGCUGUCAAUCAACUUGUUCUCUUUAUUUUUUUGCGGACAAGGGUCGUUUUUAUAGUUACACAAUCUAUUUUGGUGGUUUUCAGUUGGCCAUCAUGACUAAGCUCUUUUCUUUAUGAGCCUUUUUAUUUUCUUGGGAUCCCAUCUAGAAGCUAAAUUAACCUACUACUGUAGAUUGUUCUCUCCUUCUUUCUUUUGUUUUUUAUUUUUAUUUUUGAUUGGCAAAUUAAGAGAAAGAAUAUAGUUAGUCUCCUAAAAGGAAUGGGGACCAACCAAGAUACAUAGGGGGUAAACAAGGCUUGCAAAGGCCAGUUUAACAUUUUGAAUUAUUCCAUCCAUCUGAUAACUCAUUUAAGAAUUUGUCUCAAUUUUUCAGUUGCAGCAUGCUACAGGUUUGACCACCAACAUUAGUAAUAUUGGAAGGAUGUUAUUUUUUUGUUAAUUAUGGUUCAUUAACGUCAGACUAAGUAGUAGCUGUAAUUGAAUUUCAUUAGGUGUUAGCCGUCUCUCUAUAUGGAGUUGAUACAUUCUAAUCUAUAUAUAUUUAUUACAGCUUACUUGUUCCAGUGGAAUUCAUUUCCUUAGCAGCAAGCUGCUGUCAUAGAAACCACCUUUGGUCUAGGCUGUUGGCAACUCCUACUUGUUUUCACAUCAGAUCUUUUCCAUAUCUCACAAUUCUCUAUGUUAGUAGUUACAAAAAUGGGAGGAAGUUGUUUCAUAGCAUAUAUCCUGCAUGAGAGAAGCAUAUGCAUCACUAUUGUCAUUAGCUGUACUUAUUGGAAGCCGCUGUUAUAUAUUAUGUUUUCUUCUGGAUGCCAUUGAUAUCAAUUGCAAUAAAUAACUUAAUAAAAAAAAUGGAACCUUAAGAAUAAAUUUGUUGAUUUGGUAGCAACUUUGUAUUAUUUCCCUAUAACUUUCCUUGUUAGCUGGCUUUCCAAUUUGAUAGAAACAUUUUUUAUGAUACAUUAAUUUUCAUUUCGGAGGAAUGUCCUUUUCUUUUCCUUUUUAAUUAAUAUCUGAUAUUACCCUAGAAGGCAUAGGGCAAAUCCAAUGGAUAGAUACACAGAGGAAACAAAGUUCACCUGGAAAAUUUAUGGAUAUCUGGUCUAUGCUUCGAGUAAUUGAGAUGCUGAAGCAUGCAUGAAUGUUCUGUUUUUUGAUGCAAGAUAUUGGCAGAGAUACAUUUGUCAAAUGUGCCCAAUUUCAUAAUUUCCUUUAUGCCUCCCAAUUUUGAGUUGCUAAGGAAGUUUAAUGUUUCUUCACAUUUUGAAAUCCUAAUUAUCAUAGCUUGGAUGGAAUCCUAUUGUGAUUGCAAUUUUUCCUUUUUCUUUUCUUUUUUCUUGUAGGCACUGUUAGAGUGUAAUUUAUGUUUCCUUUUUCAUCAAUAACUAUAAUGGUCCUGUAUGAAAUGCUACUUAGAGAACCAAGAGAAAAAUUUUCAGAUCUCUUGUCAUCUCCUUUGUUCUUGUACCAUCACUAUGUUUCUUGCAUUUGGUGAUGAAUUAAGAACAUGGAGUGCUGCCUUUUUUUUUUUUUGGGGGGGGGGGGGGGGGGGGGUUGCAUUAAUUAUACAUUGCUAGCAGUGAAGGGCAUAAAGUUACGAGUCCUUUAUCUCCUGAAAGUGUUAUUGACUUGUUCAAUAUGUAGUUUUUUAUGCAUUGAAUUUUCAACUCCAAACCAGUUUGCAGGAAAUGCAUAUAUGAGAAGCUCUCAGAUGAAGAGGUAGAUUGCUGUCCUGUAUGCAAUAUUGAUUUGGGCUGUGUUCCUGUGGAUAAACUCAGGUCAGUCCUGUCUGAACAGUAACUAGGCUUCACUCUCUCCUUCUCCUUGUCCCUCUGGUUUAGAAAUUCAAGGAGAUACACAUGCACAUUCACAAAUGUGUUUUAAGACAAUGGAUAUGAAUGCAUGCACGUAGUCCUCAGUGGCAAGGAUCUACCAUAUACAUGCUGUACUUUCAAAUUUGCUUUAGUAAUAUGAAUGUUUGGUUUUUGAUAAGGCAUGUAGAUCCUUAAAUCUUAUUGUUCAAUUUUAGGAAUUUAUAUCAAAACAUGUUAUUUUAUUAACCUAAUAAGUGGAAUUAGUUUUACUAUGCAAAGAUAAUGGUGGUAAUAGUGAUUGAACAUUGUUCUCAAGAUCUUUUAAUGGAUUUCAUAGUUCCCUACAAUCUCGAUUGGUUGUCCAAAAUACCUUAAAUGAACCCAAACCUGAAACCAAAUAUGAAGUAGAAUAAAGGCAGUGUCACUUUACAUCACCUUCGAUGAUCCCAUUCAAAAGCCUAGGGUUUUGAUGUAACACUAUAGAGCAAGUUGAACACUUGUCAGAUGCUCGAAAAGAACAAUGAUAAGGAAAGAGUUCUCAAACAGUUUGUCCACUUGGAAGAAGCUAUCUGGUGUUGGAAGACAAAUCUGCAUUAACCUUUCGUCUAGUGUCCCCACACCUCUUGUUUCUCUAUGGUUGUUAAGGAGAGCAAGAACCUCAACAUGAUAUCAUUACCAACCCUAGUUGGCUUAGAGAACGUUAAUUUUACUUCCUUCUUAAGGUUCUUAAACAAGCCUUGGAUUUUAACUUGGCCUGGAUAACUGAGGCAACUAUUUUUGAAGUUAAAUUCUCUGAUCAACUGGUGGUGCCUCAGCUUAGGAACACAAGGAGGUCAUUGAUUACCAACUUGCAAUUACCCAAAAUAUAAUGAGCCUCGGUCACCAAGGUCACCUAGUAGGCAAUUAUCCCUAAUCAUCACCUCUUGGUUGGACUACUCAAAAACUACAGAUUGUUUAAUGGAAUCAAUGGGUACACAUCACGAGUCUUGUAAUGCUUUAAAGGUAUCCUUCUCUCUGAUCAUGGAGAGAAUUAUUAGUCACAGCAUCCACUUUUCCUAAUAGAGGGACUUUCACAGCAACAAAAUAAAGGGGUUUCAGAAUAGCUUGAACCUUCCCAAUAGAGUUGAUGGAGGAAGCUGGACUGGAUUAGUGUUUGUUUGCAUACUAAAGACUAGCUUGGGUUGGUUUUUGGGAGGCUGACUUGGUAGCUUUCUUUUUGGAUCUUAGUCAAAUUUGUGUAUUUUUCUGUUGAUAUAGUCAGGAAGAUACAGAUUUGGUGAUGACCUGAGGGCUUAACACCUCUAGUUGCCUGUGGGGAUAUGCACAUCGUAUAAGAGAGCCAUGGCCUCUCUCCCAUUGGACCUGAACACUUCCAGCCAACUUCCAAACAUCUUCAACUAUUUAUAUUGAUACCCAGCUACUUACACUCUCAAACCAUCAUGUUGUUUCCUUCACUUUUUUCAACAACUAGUUGCUUUUCACUUUGUGAAUUUAAUGCACUUGCUUAAAUUGGUAAUUUUUCUUUUCCUUUUUUUGGCUUUUGCAGCAGACCUUUUAUAUAUAUAAUAAGCACUAAUGACAUUGUGCAUGAGGCCUAUUGGGAUCAGGAGAACCUUUUGUUUUGUUUGUUCUGUUUAUUUAUUAAUUUUUUUUCUAUCAGCUCAUCUCUGUCAUUGCUUUGGUAUAAAUGAUCCUCCUUCGUACUAAUAUACACAUACCCAUCUUUACUUAUCAGAAAAAAAAAACAAAAAACAAAAAAUCCUCCUUCAUCUCCAUAAAACCACAAAAUUUAAGAUAUUAUAAGAGUCGAUGACAGGCUGCUCUAGGUCAUUGUCAAGUUUCUAUUUCUUCAAACAUUUUCUGAUGUAUGCUGGUUUUUCAUUUUCUCCCCUUCUAAUUUAGACCAAUAUCCAGAUAUUGCUGCAACUGGUGAUUUUCCAAUUUGGCUCCAUUUAGCAUUAGGGAAACUAGAUGUGGUAUUGAUUAUCUAAAGGCCUACUCUAUUGAAGUAGAUGCAUUGUCAGUAACUACAAUGCCGAGAUUCACUUAAAUUCACAGCUACAAAAUUACAGACCCCUUGGGAAUAUUGAUUCAAUUCCUUCUGUCUUUGAGACUUCUGUCGGACUAAGGCACCCUUUAUCUGGAAAAGCUGAAAGAAAUCACACCUGGAGUUGGAAUGAUCUAGGGCUUCUGAUUCACAGGCUACAAGAAGGCCUUCUAACUCUUCUUUCAUAAUUGCCUUAAAGGGUAUAUGGUAUAAGAUCAAUUGGUUGUGAACCUUGCAACACCGAGCAUUGGUACUUCAUUGUCAAUAACUACAAUGCAGAGAUUCACUUAAAUUCACAGCUACAAAAUUCUGGAGUUAUUUCCAGAAUUCUUGAAUAUUUGAUUUGACAAACAAAACCCACAUAUAUUCUGAUGUUCUGGUUAUUCCCAAUUACUACAAACAAUUCAAAAAUUCCAAGUUUGUAACUGUAUAUAUUUAUAAGCCUCCAAAAUGAAGGAAGCACCUUUUUUCAGUUGCCUUCUGUUUUUUCUUCUUUUGUGGAACUUUGCUUUCAGCCAGAUAGGCUGGCUACACAAACUUUAUUCAUCUGAUAAUGCAAAUGCUAAAACAGUUUAGAUUACAGGCUCCCCAAUCAUUAGUGUGUGCUACCUCUAACAGCAUUUCCACCUUCAGAUAAUUUUUUUUAUCCCCUAGCAUCUCUGUCUUCUGGGGACUUGUGUUUAGAUUUUCUCAUAUUUACUUAAGUUUGCUUGAUAAUAAUAUGCAGGCCUGACCACAAUUUGCAAGAUAUAAGGGCCAAAAUUUUUCCUUUCAAAAGAAGAAAGACCAGUGUUCCUGAAGUUAUGCCUCCAAUUCCACUGCCAGUUAAAAGGAAGGAAAGAUCACUUUCAUCUUUGGUCGUAAGCACUCCCCGAGUAUCAAUGCAGACUGGCUUGACCGGAAGGAGAACAAAAGCUGUUGCGAGAAAGAGUACUGCUCUACGAGGUUCCAGUUUUUCCAUUGUGGAACCCAUUAAGAAAGAGGAAGAUUCUGUGGAAGAUUGUCCAGAAAGCUCAAGCUCACCUGAGUCUCGAAACAAAGUUGCUCAAACUAAGAAGCAGGUAAAGGAGGCAAGGAGUUUUGACUCUUUGGGCUUGUGUGACAAACUUCAAAUUGGUUUCAUUGAGCUAUCCCUUUUAGGUAAUGAUAUAUUUGCCAUACUGUGAUAACACCUCUGCAUUAUUGUUAAAUCAAUUGUAGAAUUCUUCCAUAUCUGAAGCUUCAAAAGAUCAAAAGCCUAAUAAAGAUACUGAGAAUGAUGCUGAUCCAUGGGAUGGAAAAGUUGAUCUGUGGACACCCUUAAACUGUCUUGUUGAAGCUGCAAACAGAACCAAGUCCUCUAAAUUUAAUUCUCAAGGGACGUCUCUUGCUAAGUCGGAACCAUUUAAUGCUCCUGACAGUGAAGUAUAUAUGCCUAAAACUAAAGCUAAAGCAGAGCCACUGAAUGCUGCUGAUGGUGAAGUCUGCAUUCCUAAGACCAAAAUCAAGGAGCAUGGACACAAAAUAAAAGUUCAAGAUGAUAAGAAUGGAGCGGCCUUGCUUCCAGGACCAGUGAAACGUAGAAGAAUGCGUGCAGUGGGCCGAAAAAGAAUAUCUGCAUCAGGGGAAAUGUGCACCCCAGCACAAGUUGUGCUAAGUGCUGCAGGGGCCAAACGCGGCAGAAGAAAUUGUCCAAUUUGGUUCUCAUUAGUUGCUUCUGAAAACCAGUAAGAAAUCACUUUGAUCAUGAAAUUUAAUUAUCAUAGGUAUUUCUUUUGAGGGGGAGCUUGAUUUAUGAUUUCUUUAAUUUUUUUUUUUUUUUUUUUUUUGCUGAUUAUAUGGUUAAUGGAUUCAGGGGAGGAAAUGGUCCCUUGUCAAAGAUACCUGCAUAUUACUUGAGGGUAAAGUGAGUAUAUUUGGUUCCACCACCUGCUUUCUGUUUUUCUGCAAUUUUCCCUUUUUUGAUAAGAUAAAUUUGGCAUUCUAAGUUAUUUUUUUUCCUAUUUCAUUCUAUUUGUUUACUUUAUUAUGCUCCACAUUUCUGUUGUAUAGGAACAUCUUUAAAUGUCAUCCUGGAAGUAGGAUUUGUGGAUUAAUGUUGGUAUAUAUUUUGUUUUAUUAUCAUUAUCAUAUAUGUAUGAUUCUGGAGGAACAGUGGAGGAACUCUACUGGAAGAAAAAAGUGAUUGAAAGAAAGACUUCAUUGGAAAAUAUAGGAAAAACACCUUAUCCACCGUGCCCACAUACACAUGCACACAGGCACACGCAUGCAUGCCAACACACAUGAGAUAGUUAAGAGCUUUGUGGCUUGCUGUAACCUGGAACUUCAUAUUGUCAAACGGAGUUUUCAGACAAAAUGUGCAUUUCAUAUUUUACCUAAUUGACAUACUCUAUGACCAUGAAGUUAUGACCACAUCCAAGGAAAACUCUUGAACAGGACUAGAUUCACCAAUUCUCAUCCUUAAUGGAUGCUAAAUUAGUUGGCUAAGUGCAUAAUGCAUGGACAUGGUGAAGAUAAAAUAAGAGAACAACAAAGACCUCUUGAAUAGCAACAAACUCAGGAAUUUACAUGACUCUUUCAAAAAAUCCAUGAGUAAGACGAUAUAAGUUUCUCUUCAUCUGGAAAUUUGGUUUCAAAAAUAGGGUUUUGGAGGCAGAAGAAAAUGGUAUAUGCAUACUGUUGUCCUUACAGUUUGAAGCAUCGUUUGUGUACAUCACAGUAUCACAGUAUUACUGUAUUCUUUACUGCUGUCUAUGAGUACUUCAUUUGUCCCUUUGAUUGAUUAAUACUUUGAUGUCAAGAUGAAACAUAGCCCGCUUGCUGCUUUAGAGGUAAAUUGUGUCGUGAAUAGAAGGAUCAUGUAUUUUUGCUAGUGUUACUUUCUUUUGUUAUAUGAAUAAGAUGAGCAAAGACAUUCUCAUUCGUGAUAGGCAAAAUAGGACUUGUAUAGUAAUUACAAAUAGGGAGCAGGAUACCCUUUCCAACAUUGUGUUUUUGGAUAUCUUCUAGGAAGUAUUUUCUAUCUCUACUUUUAGGAAUAAGAUAUGUUUUAAGUCAAGAAUAGCUCAUUUUGAUGUAAGAUCUGCACACUCCCUAAGAGGAUAAAACCAUUUGAAACCUUGACUAUUAUGAUAUUUUUAUUGAAAAUAUCAUCCCAAGCACAUAAACAUCCUUUGAUAUCUCUCAGAAAACUGCUGACCUUUAUGUAGAUCCAAAAUGGAGCAAGUGGAGUAAUUUAGCAUUAAUAAUAUUGUCAGGUGGUAAGCUCAAGAGUAUCUAGGGCUCUGGGCUGCAUCAAAAUAAUAAAAAAAUCAAUGCAUUGAAAGAAACAGAUAAAAUAAGAAAUUUCUUUUUUAUAUUGAUUUCCUAUUUACAGACACCCACUUGAUAUUUAUGCAGAUUAAGUUCCUUUUUUUCACAUUAAUGUGAUUCUUUUUUUUUUUUUCUUUUUUUUUAUUUUGUUGCAUCCGCUUUUAUGAUGAAACAUGAUAUCAUUAUUUUGUGUAUCAAUUAUAUCUUGGCAAGAGAGGUUUUAAAUUACUUCAAAGUUUCCCAACAAGAUUGCUCAGCUUCUUUAGAACAUCUCUAUCAAAUGAAAGUUCUAUUUAACCUGGGUGGUGGUUUUGAAUAACUGGGCCCAACUGAAUCUGUAUUAAGUGAUGUAUGAAUUGUUCUGAACCAUAAAAUUGUCAAGAUUUGGGAGUAAAUCAUAAAAUAUGGUGAAAGUAUAAAUCAAGAAUGAAGUAUCUUUUCAAUUUUAAAUCUAAUUUAAUUUAAUUUAAUUCAAUUGUGCAGUUUAUAAACAAAAGUGAGUUUUCCAAUAUUCUUUUACAAGAUCAAGGGAUUUUUUUCUUCUUUCAUUUAGACAUCACUUGAAACAAUUAUAAUAUUGCAACUAAUUCCUGAAUUAGUUACCAACUUUGAGGUACAUUAGAGUAAAUUCCCGAGUUACUGAAUUGCAUGAAACUAGAUCAGAUUUAGCACUUGAAGAAUUUUGUUAUCAGUGGGAUAAAAUUUUUUGGUUCUUGAGAUUUAUGUCAAAGGAUGCUUCAAAUGACCCUCCCCAUGGGCUUAUAUAAAGCCUAGGAAGCUUCUGGAGACUCCUACAUUAGUGGGAAGAGUGUGGAAGGUUCUAGAGAUGCCUAGAGAAGUCCACACAUCUCUACACUAUGGUGGAAGGCAUGAGAGGAGUCCAAGGCUUUCUAGAAAAAUCUAGAAAUCUCUUGUAUAUUCUUGUACAUAACUCUUGUACAUAGAAUUAUGUAGGGUGUUCUAGAAUUUUCUUGAUUUGUAAGGAACCCUCCAAGGUUCCAGAGAGUUCCAUUGGUGCCUAAAAAUAGAUAAGGCCUUCAUUUAGCCAAGGCACCACCCAAAAACCUCCCAAGAUCCUAACCAACCAACCAAUUGAGUUCCCAAAAGCACUUAUAAAGCUUCCUUUGAGCAAUAAAAGCUUCCAUUCUUUAAACGUCACCUACUACACCUUCUAAAGCUUCCGAGUCGUAAGCAUCUUAGCCUAGCAAGCUAAGCAUUGGGAGUAAGGCUGACUUAGUAAGAUCAAGUGUCUUGACUUGUCUAAGUGUCGCAUGAGCUUAGGAAAAGACUAAGUCCGUGACAUAGCUCUAAUGAUAAAAAAAACUGGAGAUAAUCUUCUCAUUGUUUCUAUAGUGGUUUUGUAUGGCAUUUUUCUGUUAUUCCAUCAUUUACAAGUUUUUUCUCAGUGGUUUUGCACAUGCAUGCUUGUGGUCUUAGCUCUGUUUGAUUUUUAUCUUGCUCAUUGAAUUAGGAUAUCACCUAUUACGCAAACAUUACAAAAUGGGCCUUCUUUAUGACCAUGUUCUUGUCUGUUAAAUUUUCAGAACGUGAUAAUGAGGUUGGCAUCAACGUUGAUGUUUUUACCGGUAAAUUCUCGCCUGCACUCAUGUUUUUCUAUUUUUGCAUUGCAGGGAUGGUAACUUGCCUGUCUCAUUUAUUCAGAAGUACCUUGUAAAGAAACUUGAUCUGACCAACGAAGCUGAGGUAAGCACUUAUUUUACCUUCCCUGACAGCUAGAAAUGUCUGGGUGUGUCUUUGUCUGUGCUCUUUACAAAGAUAUUGUUAGUUGUUAAAUGCAUGAAUCCCCUUCCUGGUUAUUGUUUGCUAAAAGCAGGAAGCUUAACAUUUUCAAAAAAAUUAGAGGGAAGCCAACAAAUGUUAAGCUUGAGGUCCCCACUUACACUUUCCUGGAGAUUCAUGGCAAUGGAUUUGAAGGAGAGUUUAUUCCAGUUGCUUAUUAGUUCCUAUAGUCCUCAUCCUUAGGAGUUUGCUCACAGCUUGAUAACUCCACUGCCCGCAUGCUGCUUAGAAACCAGUAAUGUAACAACCCUUUCCCUCCCAUGUAAAUACUGUCCGCUUUGAAUUUACUAGGCUGUCACAACUUUAAAACUCGUCUAUAUGAUUAAAAAGAACUCUACCAUAUAUAUAUAUAAUUAGUAUCAUAAACUUGUUCCGCUAUCCGAUAUGGAAUAGAAGCAUCUGUGAGUGGUAGCCGCAUGAUCCCAGAUUCCCAAUUCAUCUAUUUUCAGAAAUCUUGGCACCAAAACAUCACAAACUAGAUCUUUUUUCUUUUCUUUUGGACCAAACGCAGGUCAAAUCAUUUGCAUCCCAGAAGAUUUGUCCUUUGUCAUCAACACCUUCCAAUUAGCCAAAGCUGUAUGUUUUGUGUUUGAUUUGCUGAUUGUGUCUGUUAAUUGUGUUGGUGAAGGUGGAGAUAAGGUGCCAGGGUGAAGCAGUGGUUCCGACGCUGCAGCUGCAGAAGUUGGUGGAGCUAUGGCUGCGAACAGCAUCGACAUCAAAAAGAGUGGCAACAUCAGUAGGCACCUCAGCCAAGGAAUUUGUGAUGGUCUUGACAUACACAAGGGUCCAAGCCCCUUGAAGACACAAACAAACCUCUAUCAUUCUUCUUCUCCAUCUUCAUUAUUCAAAUCUUCAAUAAUAUAUUAUCCCCUUGUAGGAUGUCAUAAAAAUCCACCCAUUUUCUGGGUGCACUAUGUGUGAACGGUGUGAUUAAGCCACAAUUUUCCAAAAAAAAAUUCUGUACAAUGUACACCCUUUUUCAUUGCUCUUAGCAAUGAUCCGGAAACAAUUUUACCAUUUGGAUAUGAUUGCAUCUCUCUGCUGGUGGCUGAGCUUCUUUGAAAAAUGGAAAUUGAAAAUUGUAUUAAGUAUUUUAAUCAUAAUCCCAUAGAUUUUCUGUUUUAUGUUCUUAAAAGUAGAAACUUUUGUAUAAAAAAAUAUGGACAUGUAUUAUGUUCUUAAAAAUUAAUUUCGAAAAUUUUACAAUUUGAGGUAGUAAAAGGUUUCUGGUCUCUCAAAUUUUUACUUAAGAUUCAAAAAUUAUAAUAGUUUUAAUGUAAAUUUUUAAGAAUUUUUGUAUUUAAUAUUAAAGUUAUUAUUUGUAUUUUAUGAACAUUUAGGUAGUGUUUGUUUUUUUAUAACUCAUUAAAAGCAAUAUAAUUAGAUUGAAUAUAUUGAAAAUAAAUUCUUUUUAAUUAUAUUGGUUGAUAUUAAUGUUAUUUUUAGUUGAAUAAAAAAAGUCUAAUAUUUUGGAUUUUUUAAUUCAACUAAAAAAUAAACACUAUUUUAAAGUGUGUUUGGCAAGUUUCUACAUGUUUUUAAUGAAAAUGUUUUCUUAAAAGUAUUUUUAUGAUAAUCAUUUAUUAAGAGUGUAUUUAGUAAUGUUUUUAAUCAUUCUAAUACUUGAAUAAAAAAAUUUUGAGUAUUAAAAAUAUUAUAAACCCUUCUUAAAAUUAUUAUCAAGGUUUUAAGUAUUCUUUAAAAAACACUAUAAAUGAUUUUUGAACAAUAAAAAUGAUUUUUUGGAUUUUUAAAAGUAUUUCAUAAAUUUUAUAAAAUACUUUUUUUUUUCAAAAACAUUUUUAGCUUUUAGAAUCACUCUAAUAUGAUAUGAGAUUAUUAUAAUUUCAUUAAAAUAAAUAAAUAAAUAAAAACUACAAUCAAAGGUGACUCAUUGUUUAUAUUUAAAAAUAUUAUUAUUAGAAUUAUAAUAUAUAAACUUUGGAGGGACACAAGUAUAAAAUGUAUAUAUUUAAAUAUUAAGAAUUUAUAAGAUAUUUAUUUUAGGGAUACAAAAUGAUUUUAGAAAAAUGCUAAGUAAAUGUUAGAUAGCAUAUUGCAAAGCAUUUUUAUUUCUAGAAAUAAAAAUUGAAAAGGGAUUAGAAAAUUGUCUCACUAUCUCCUUUUUUUUUUCUUUUUUCUUUUUUUGUGAUUUCCUAUUAAUAAUAAUAAUAAUAAUAAUAAUUGAAAAAAAUAAUAAUAAUCUUUGGAAGACGGUUAUUAUUUUCAUUUGUCCAGCCAAACGGCCCACUUCUAUUUGACUGAUGCCCGACCGCAUUGGGAUCCAGGCCAAGCCCUUCUACUAGUUUCCAUUUCUACACGCCCUUUUCCUCGACCCCAGCCCUCGUCGCCUUCAUCGAUCAAAUAUGCAACAGGUAUGUAAAACCCUACCAAAACCCUAAUUUUUUUCGUUCUUACUAUUUUCUUCAUAAUACUGAUAAGGCAUUACAACAUGGAAGAGUGGAGGAUCUGAAACAGAGGUGACAUGGGAGGAUCAGCAGAACAUUAACAAAUUCGGAAGACUAAACAACAGAUUUCACGAGCUCGAAGAUGAGAUCAAGAUGGCCAAGGUAAUAAAGAAAAAAGAAAGGACUUUUCUGUUUUCCUUUUCGAUCUAUGAUUUUUGUUAAUUUUUUAAAAAUUUGGUUCUACUUUUUAACUGUGUUUUUAUGCUAAAUUUGAGGUUGGUUUUAAAAAUUAGAGGGAACCCUGAUUUGUUUUUGUCUUCAUUUGGUGGGUUUUUUGAAUAAAGUUCUUCUUUUCACUGGAUUUUUCUGUUAGUUUUCGGAUUAGGGUUCUGAUUCUGGAUCUUGAGUUAUUCACUGUAUUGCAUGAUCUUAAAUGGACUUUAAAAACCUACAGAAGGGCUUUUUUCUACCUCGUUUUUCUAUGGGUAUUAGGAAAAAAAAGAUUCUUUCUUUCAAUUUCAUAUGGGAUUUACUUGAUUGCUGUUGAUUUCUGAAUAUUAGAAAAACGCAGCUUUACCUUUUAAGUUUGAUGGAUAUUAAUAGAAGAAAUAUGGAUUUGGACUUAACUUUUGUGAUUGGUGGAAGUGAAGUGAGAAAAGUUGGAAAAUAGUGCUCAUUGGUGUGCUAGGAGCUUGUUUUUAUAAAUAUAACACAUUUAAAUUUAAAUAAAAUGGAGAAAUUGAGCUAAAGGAUGCACUUGAAGCAGAGAAGCAAUGGAGACAUCUUAAAGGCAAUUGUAGAAUUUGAAAUUGGUUUUUCUUGUCUGAAUUCCAAAGCAAUGUAACAUUUACAUGUUGAAUAAUGCUUGCAUUGUAUAGUGUAUGUAUGAUCCACCGUCACUAUGAGAUUCAGAUUUAAAAUAUUUAUUAGAGACAUUUCUGUUUGUGAAGAUUAGAAAUGAUUUUUCCACAAAUCAUUUCUAAUCUCACAUGCCUUGUCAUGCACAAGGGCAUAUGCCACAAAUUGAAAUGAUCAGGGAGGGUGUUGGAAAAGCAUUUAGCUAAUGAUUUGGCUAGGUUUCCAUGAUCCUAUUUGAUUGAUAUCUUUGAUUAUCUACACCAAUGAUGCUCACAGUGAAAAGAUGUGAAAGUUUUCUUCUGUCAGCGAGAUAUUUUAUAUUGGAUAAACUAAAGGUUGGUUGCACGAUGUAUUAAGAGCAAUCAUCAGAUUGAAGGAAGCAAUAUAACACACUCAAACAAUGCAAAAUAAAAAUAAAAAAUAAAAAAGACCUUGUUGUGAACUCUUUGAAAAACUUUGAUGUUGGAAAUAUAAUCUGUUUGUCUUACUGAGGUUAAAAGUGGCUAAGUUUUGAUGAGUUUUCUUCUACAUUUGGUCUUGGGAUUCAUUGUUCAUGGGUUAAGUGUUCUACUCUUGAGCAUGAUAGCUUGUCCUUAUUUUUGGUUCACAUUAUGUAUCAUUCCUCGUGGACAUGAAUUUCAAGCAUCUAGCAUCCCAUUUAACACCACUGCCAAAGUGCAACUUCUAAUUCUUUUCCAUAAAAUUGUUUCCUAAUAUUGGUUUCCAUACUUGAUAAAACAGGCAACAUUUAUAUGCAUGUAUCAUUCUUCUAUGCUUCUUACAACUGCAUUUCUCUGUUUAUGCAUAUUUAAGAAGUUGGGCUUGAUCCACAGAUUGUUGAUGUGGCCUCAGGCUGAGUUUGUGACAAACCAAGCUUGCAUUGAGCUGGAUCAGCUUGGCAAUUGAGAAUGCUAAAAUUUUGUGAUAAUGGAAGUUUCUUUGAAGAUUACUUAAGAAAAUAUAAAUUUUAUGUGUGAUUGAUUGUGUACGAAUGAGAUAUAUUUGCCCAAACCAACUGUAGCAUUCAAGAUUGAAAACUGUACUUAGUAUUGGUUUCUCUUCUGAACCUAAGUUAGUUUUCUCUAUUACUCAAGUUGGCAUGUUUGGUUAUGUCCUUCAAACAUUUUUCUCAAUUCCACUUAAUGAUGCCUUAUCUCAACUACUUAUUUCAGUCAUGUGAAUCAGUUUGCACCUUUCUACCCUAUGUAGUGUCAUUUCUUUCAUUGAGUCCUUCACUUCAAUGUCCUCUCUAUCAAGUUCUCUGGCACAUUUCCCCAUAUUCUUGUAGUACCCAUUAACUUGAUCUAUGUCAACCAAUAUUGAUGAAAACACACGUUCUUGUUAUGCAUGGCCACAACACAAGGAUCAGUAACAGAAAAGGAAAAGGUCAUAUUUAGUUCUCUAUCUCCUUGAGGAAUCAAGCCCUUCUAGGUAAGUAGGUGUGGAGGUUGCCUUGAGAGAACAACACUUUUUGGUAUAGAGUCAUCCUAAGUAUUUAUGGGUUGCGCCCCCAAUGAUUGGGAUACCAACUUUGUUGUUAGGUGCUCACAUUGUUCCCCUUGGAAAGCCAUUUCUCAACUCUUCAACAAUUUUUCUAAUUUCACAUUAUACUUGGUGAGAAAUGGCACAAAAAUUCGUUUUUAGGAGAAUGCUUGGCUAGACAAAUGUCCUUUCAAGCUUCAAUUUCCAAAUAUUUUCAAAGUUACAAGGACUAGAGAUAGGCUUGUUUCGUCAAAACCUUUAUGACACAAAGAUUGAAUAUCUAAUUAGCCCCUUUCAUUCCUACUUCAUGCAUAUAUAUCACCUUCCCUUCUAAUAAAAGAGUUUAGUCAUUAACACCCUCAAUAUUUUCUCUAUGAGCUCUUUCUAUAAAGCUCUCUUCGUUUUUCCUCACUUUCCUGUUAUGACCUCUUUUGCUCUAAGUUAAUUUGGAACUCAAAAGCUCCACCAAAGGUUAAUCUUUUGUUUGGCUUGUGGCUACCAAGAAGGUUAAUACCAACAGCUUCAAUUGAGGAGGCCUUACAAAGUUCUUAGCCCAAACCAUUGUGUUAUGUUCUUGAAGAGUAGUAAAUCAGCCGAUCAUCUUUUUCUUCAUUGUCCCACUGCACUUUUACUUUGGUAUAGAUUGUUAUGCAUAGCCAAUCUUGAAUGGUUUCCCCUUGGAGGCAUAGUAGAGAUGUUGAGAAUCUCUUUUAAGGGCUUUAAAAGCCUACCUACCAAAAGGGAAGGCUCUUUAGCAUAUGGUUAUUUUAUCCUUGAUAUGGUUUAUAUGGUUAGAGAGGAAUGCAAGGAUUUUUUAGGAUAAAUGAAGAUUUGUGGAUGCCAUAUGGGACGAUUUACUUUUUCCUCCUCCCUAUGGGCCUCGGUCACCUAGCCCCUUCUAGAUAUUCCUUUGUAUCUUUUAAUGCAAAAUUGGAAGAGUGCUUGCCACUCAAUUAGGUUGAAGAAGAAAGUUAUGAUUGAUUGGUUACCCUCCCUAGUUGGUUUGGUAAAGUUAAACUUUGACAAGUGUUCUUUGAGUAAACCCUAGUCAGAUAUGUACUAGAGGUGUGACUGGAGAUCACUCUUAUCCAUUAUUAAGAGCUUACUCGAAGCAUGAAGAAGCGGGGUUGGCUAAUGAGAUAGAAAUAUUGGCAUUAUUGGACAACAUGCUACAAGCCAAAGCUUUAUGCCUAUCCAAUCUAAUUGUAGAGGGAGAUUUUAACACUGUAAUAUCUUGGAUGAGUAAUAGAGAAAGAGGUCCAUGGAAGUUUGUGAAAUGGAUGCACAAAAUCAUAGAUAUUGCUAGCGAGUUGGGUUGUUCCUUCUCUUUGGCUCCUUGUUCAGCUAACGAAGUCACUAAUAAGUUAACCAAAUAAGGAGCAAAGCAUUUGGCCUCCUUUUUGGAGAUUUCCCUCCCCCUUGAGUGUCUUAAUGUUUCUCUACUGUAUGUAUAUCGGUUUUCUCCUAGUGAGGUUGGCUAGUUUUUGUGGAUCUGGUUACUUGGUCACUUUCCAAUGAACCU
rnacentral:lncRNA from 1 species